rnacentral:lncRNA from 1 species
GAAAGCAGGCGUGGCUCUUGUCACCCCAGAUGGUUCGAUGCUCGAGAAUGCAAUCACUCUAUACUUCAAAGCGUCCAACAACGAAGCAAAGUACGAAGCCCUAUUAGUAGGCCUCCGAAUGGCAAAAGACUUGGCGGUGAACAACCUUACAAUUCAUUUUGAUAUCAGCUAAUCACCAGUCAGACUAUUCAGGAGUACACAACAAAACAUACAAAGAUGGCGCAGUACCUAGAGAAGGUACGAAAGCAGCUUGAGGUGUUUUAGACUUACACCAUCACUUAAGUUCUGCGGCCAAACAACGCCCAUGCAGACGCAUUAGCCGGCCUAGGCUUCACCCUCGACUAUCAACUCAAACGCUUUAUUCCGAUGAAGUAUCUACACAAGCCAAGCAUAGAGGUAGAGCUGGCAACUGAAAUGUCAUAGGUUAGUACAACUCCAAGCUGGCAAGAUUCCAUUAUAAACUACCUGGUCAAUGGCACACUCCCUAUGGAAAGAUUGGAGUCUAAAAAGCCCCAAACAAAGGCAGCACCGUACUACAUAUGGAACGGCAUUCUCGUCCGUAUAUCCUACAUUAGACCACAUCUUUGCUGCUUAGUGCAUCCCAAUGACCUAAAGGUUCUAAGUUCAAUCCACGAAGGCCUUUGUGGAAAUCACUCCAGAUGAUGAUCCUUAGCACAGAAGGUUCUCAACGCAGGUUACUACUGGCCUACUAUACACCAAGAUGCUAAGGAGUCAAUACAAAAGUGCGAUUACGGCCAACACUACAAGCCGAUACCAACACCACCUGCUAGCAAAGUACACCCGCAGACGAGUCAUUGGUUGUUCAUGCAGUGAACAAUCGACUGGUAUAGCCAAUGUCACCUGCUACUGGGGGCAGAAGCAUAAUGAUGGAGGCAACUGAUUAUUUCACCAAGUGGGUAGAAGCCGAGCCCAAGACAACUACGACUCAAACGGACAUAGAGUGCUUCAUAUAGAAGAACAUCAUUUUCCAAUUUGGCAUCCCUCAAUUCAUUGUCACAAAUAACAGCCCGCAAUUCAUAGGCAAAGAUUUGGCGAAGUUCUUCCAAAAGUAUGGCAUCAAGUAGCACAUGUCCACGCCAAGAUAUCUUCAAGGCAAUGGGCGGGCCGAAGCAUUCAACAAGACGAUUCUCGACUGCCUAAAAAAUCCCUCUCUGACAAGAAAGAAAUAUGGCUAGACGAACUCUCUGGAUGUCUAUGGGCGUAUCGCACAACCAAACAACGAGUCACCGGUGAGACUCAUUUCUCUUUGGAAUUUGGUUUAGAAGUAAUCAUUCAUCCCAAUGUCAUCAUGCCAAGUAUCAACACUUUACUACCAAACAUUGAGCAGAAUAGUAAAGAGAUAGCUACAAGCUUAAAUCUGGUAGAAGAAAAGCACGAACAGACCAUCACCAGCAUCAUAACCUACCAGCAGCAACUUCUCUCCACUUACAACAAAAGAGCCAAGAUCCGGCAGUUAUAGCCCCAAGAUAUAGUCUUAAGAAAAGCCUUCAUCACUGCCCGUAGAAAAAACUCCAAAAGAUGGAUCUCAUCUGGGAAGGUCUGUACAAAAGUAGCUGAGUAGGCGACAGGGGUAGUUACACCCUUGCCACCAUAAACGACAAAGAAAUCAAAAAGUAGUGGAAUGCCUACAAUCUGAUGAAGUACCAUCUAUGACCUCCCGCUACAUCAAAGCCCAAAGACUCAAGCAGCUCGUUGGGCACCACCUUGCAAGCCGAGGACUAUCCAGUUGUUAUGCAGUUCCUACCUUACAGCUAAGUUUUCGUUCGUUUCACUCGUUUUUCAAUGAGGAAUUCAAAAGUAAUCUACAACUUGGCUCGGUUGCAUGCUUACAACAACUGAUCACUCAUGCACUUCAAAAGAAGAUCGCACCCUUCCUAAGGACUUAUCGUAGGAAUUGCACCCCUUGGGGACCAACCAUGCUCUCUAGUGCGAGAGGGUAAACCAAUCCCCCGACACCUAUUUGGGUCUACUCUCUAGUGCAAGAGGAUAAACUAAAUGCUCUCCAGUGCGAGAGGAUAAACUUUACAUUCUGAAUAUCCAGACGUAGAUAAGCCGGGUUGCCCUGGUGUAACUAGAUGCAUGAUGGCUUGUGUUGGGAUUCCUAGAAGUAGCCACAAUUGUAUUUUUCAAGGCUUAGCGAACUGAAGGAUUUUGGGUAUCUUGUCCAAAUCCGCGGGGAACCAGGCCUUAGAGAUGGAGGGGGCACAUUACGGAGUACGCCCCUAUGGAUGGCUGCCCUGGAACCCUAAAGCUGCUACUGAGUACACUAAGGUAGCCCACGGUUUCCAAAAGACUACCUACGACUUGCCCUUCGAGUAGUAAACCGCGUUAAACUUAAACAACCACACGUUUAUGUGAAAGGUUAAACAAGUUAGCACGCAUACAAAGCUUCUUCCAUUGUCGACAUACUACGCAGUUGAUAAGCUUCAUUUCUGCCAAAGCGCGGAACGACCUACACCAAGUCCUAAAGUGUUGUGGUACUUGCUACGCAACCUACAGAAUUGGAGAGAGCCAAGGUUAACAACCAAGUGGUCACGCAUACUCGUUUGCUUUAUGUAGGGCGUCCGGCUGUCAACCCUAUGGCUAACAACUUUGUAAAGUUCAACACCAACACCUACGACUGCAUAGGCUAUGUGGGCCUAUCUGCUUAUAAAAAAGUAGCACGUCUACCCCUAGUCUAAAAAGUCUAAGGUUGGGCAAGAACAAAAGAAGCGAAGAUGAAGAAAAACGAAGGAAGCAAGUUUAUUAAAUUUUCUAACAAAAUUGAUAAACAACUGGCAAAAACCGAAGGAGCUUAAGCAAAGAAAAAAGCAACAAGGAAAACAAAGAAAAUCCUAAAGACUACCUACUUUUCAUUAGCUUGGACACUUCACGACUACUCGAUUGCCACACCUUCAGCAACGACGACAUUCUCAGCAACAAUACCAUUCGGCGCUUCACCCCCGGCUACUCCAGCUUGGGCAUCAACUUCUCCGACUACUUUACCAAUGGAAGCUAAAGUCAAACAGCCUCCUAAUGAGAUAGUCUACAUGACCCAGCUUGUAGAAAUCAGCUUGAUCUCACCCUUCAAAUGCUCAUUUUCCUCAAGCAGACUAGCACAGACGGGCUGCAGCUCAUCUACUUCCUUCUUCAGACUGUCGUUAAUCUUCAAAACACCCUGAAGUUCCAACACUUAAGGUUCAAAACUUAUCAAUGACCUUCUUGAAAUGGAUCACUUGGUUGUAAGCAACGAUCAGUUCCUAAUCCUUUGCAUAAGUAGUAAAACGGAGCUCAGAGACAGCACUCUCAAGGUCUUGAAUCUGAGGUAUGUAACACCCAAUCUCCUGGCGAGUGGUCUCAAGAUGUAGAAAAAUGGGGGUAGAGAUAUUAGACCCCUUCAAAGCAGCAAGCUCAGAUUCCAACUUCUUGAUUUUCUUGGUCGAGGAGUAAGCUUCGGUUGCCAUAGUCCUUGCCACCUCCUUGGCAGCCUUGGUGUCCUCUUGAUCAAGAAGCAUAGACUCGGCAGCUAGAAUUGUCAUUUUCUACAUCAUAGCCUAAAACAGCUUAAAACACACGAAAACAGCUUAAAACACUAUAAUAAACACAAAUUAACUAAGAAAAUGCAAGAAAACAAGCUAACUAAUUCGCAUAAAUAUGCUCAUAUCAACAACCCCUUUAACGCCAUCAAUAAACUUGGCACACAUAUCUAUGUUUUCAAGCAGAUCUAGUUUCAAAAGCGCACAGAUCUUAACAUCCUCCCUAGCAGUAAGCUUAAUGGAUUUCUCACAGCUGCCCACGCAAGCAGUUUCCUCCUUCCUAGCAGGCGAAUCAGUCUCAGCAGCAGGGGAGUAAGCAUUGGCACCACUUUAGCAGUAGAGUCCACCUUAUCGCUCUUCAUAUUAGCAAGCCUUUCCAAAGGUGAAACAAAUUUAGCUCCUAACGGACGCUUUGGCACUAGUUUCGGCACUUGGGGCACGACGGAACCUCUACGCUGAGCAAUCAUAUCGACAAUCAAAGUUGCCAUCUUUGAAAUGGCAGGCGUCACUGGCUCAGAUCUAGUAGCCUCAUCUUUCUCGUCAUUAGAAGAAGUCAAGUCAAUCAUAAGCUUGGGGGUAACCGGUGAACCUUUACGAGUAGUGGAGGAAGUCUUCCGCUUUUUCUUAGCCAACAUUUCUUAAGUAAGUGGGGAAGAUCUCUUCUUUCCACCUUCAUUCACAUCAGGCUCCAUGACAACGAUCGGACAAGCCAAUGCCUUCGCCUUGAUCCAUUUUAUCUCCUAUUUCGAAGGCAGCCCAUCUUUCUCUCGACGAAGAAGACUAAGCAGCCAACACUAUUCACAAUACUCAGAAGGGAUACCAAGAACAACAUGCACUAUCUUCAUGUCUGGAGAAGUCUUGGAAGUUAAGUUGAAUUCUAAAUUUAGAUAAGCAGAAAAAGAUAAACAAUGAAUUAGAAAGCAGCUCAGCAAAAGUACAAAGUAGCCUAGAGACUAAGCAGUCUACUUACCGGUAAUGAAAACCGGGAACACGUAGCUUAAGGGAAGAAUCAGACUCCAACUCUCUACUUAUCUCCAAAGUCUCCUUGGCUUAAGCCACAGCACCAACCUGGCAUGUGCCAGGUCCAGUCCAGCGCCCAUUAGUUCGGCCCAAGCCGAGCCACUUUUGGCCCAGCCAACCGCCACUGUACUGAGUCGAUAGCAGCGAGCCACCCAUGGUAGCCAUAUUGUGGCUUUCCAGCCACCUUUUCACACUUUCUCAACCCCCAUCGAGCCAAAUUUCAAGCCCUAAAGCUCCCAAAGAUUAUGAAGACAAGGAAAAAUUAAUUUGUUCUUUCCUUGAUGAGGCAUGAAGACAAAGAAAGCAGCGAAAGACGGCCAUUUGCACGACCAAAUGUAGAAGAUUGCUAGGGGAGGGGGAACAAAUAUCCACUAGCUUUCUCUCUCUCUUGUAGGGUAGAAUAAAUUGCUCUCUGAAGUUGACUUUGGAAGUAAUUUAUCUCCCUUUCCCAGAAGGACCUAAUUUCAAAUCAAAGAGGGAAUCUACAUCAAAAUAGGAAACAAUCUUACGUUUCCUAAAACAAGGGAAGAUCUCUACACCUGCUGCCCUUUCCUGCGAGUAGCCCAAUAGGUGUGGGGGCAUUUGUGGAACCAAAAAUAAUCAAGAAAAAUAUAGAGGCAACACGUGGACUUUUGGGUGAAAAAGACAAAAUUACCCUUGAAGCACACCAGGACUCCCACGCGCAAGCAACAGACAAUAACAACUCAAUCAAGGUCAAAAUUGAUCAAAAUGGUAUUCUUUUAAACCCUCUCAUCACUCCUCAUCAAAUCCUCAUCCACAAGGUAACUCCCAAUUAUACUUUUCAAAUUGGGAUUAAUUACCAAAAUUAAUUGAUUAAUUUCCUAAAUUAAUUGAUUAAUUUCCUAAUUGAUUGCAAGAUAUUAUUUGACAUAAUAUCUUACAAUUAGAGCAAAAAAUCACCAUAAGUGGCUGGUCCCCAUUUCUCCAAAUAGGGCUGGCCACACCCCUAUAUAUAGCAUCAUUCUCUCCAAAAACCUAAAUCCAAUUCUCUUCCAAAAUUCUCUAAAUUUCUCUAAACACUUUUCCCUCAAAUUCUAACUUUGGCAUCGGAGAUUCUUCGGCCAAACCCCCCCAUUCAUCGUUGGCGCGUGAGGCUCUUGGCCUUGAUCUUAGAUGUUAAUUGUUUUGCAAGUGCAUUUUCAUCCAGGAAGAAGAAGGCAGAAAUUUGCAUCCACACUUGUUAUUUGGUUUUGGUCAAAUGAGCUACGACCUAUGGCCAACUUUGCCCAAAAGCUAUUAGGUUGUCAAGAAUUUUACCAGUCGUAACUGAAUUUAGUAACAUAGCAGCCGACUACCUUGUUGAUUUAGAAAGUGACCUAGAGAUGAAGCUUAUUGUUUUUUUAGUACGUUGACAUUUUUACACUGAGGGGAGGAGGAGUUCGACUAAGCCACACAAUGGACAUCUUAAUUUGAUAUCUAAUUCGCCAUCGAUGAAGCUUAUUGUUAAUUUCUCUCAUUUGAUUAUCUUCAUUUUAUUUGACAUGAUUAUCCUCAUGUGAAUAGUAUCACUUUUUGGUAGAAGAGCUGUUAAAACCUUAAGCAACUGGCAGUAGUGGAGUGGUGGCCUUAAAUCCCUUAUUUAAAGUUUUCAACUGUCACGACUACCUCCCCAUCUUUCAUCCUUCCGUUUCCGGCGAAGAAUAAGAUCAUUGCACAAGGGGUAUCACAUCAUAGAGCAUUUUAUUAUUCAGCCAUCUACAUUAUUGCUAAUUUAUUGUGAGAUUAAGCUCAUUUUCUUCUUUUAAUGUAGAUAAUAUCGCUUGUUCAAAAAAAAAAUUAUAUAUAUAGAUAUGUAUGUAUGUAUGUAUAUAUAUACAUAUAUAUGUAUAUAUAUGAUACAAUAAAUGGCUGGGAUUAUAUUAUUUACCAAAAAAAAAAAGGAAAAAUAUGUGUAAAUAUGUAAACAUCAUGGUUAUAUGUAUGGAUUCGAUGUAUCACAUUUAAAGUUAAACUUGCUCUCCUCACACCUGUUUAUUUUUAUAUUAUGGCAGAAAUUGUUAAGUGAGGUUUUUUUAUGAAUGACAAUAUGACAUUCAUUUCAUUCAAUCACUAGCAUAAAAACCAAAUUACUGUGAACAAACAUUUAUUCUCAGGGGAAAAAAAUGGUAGGGCUUACAGUUACACUAGCCUGAACCCAAUAAACCAUCCAGGACGGUUCUUCCUCCAUUAAAAUCGUACAGUCAUGCCACUAAAUUCAACGGUGAAAAUAAAAACUUAAUGCCACCAUAUAGCAAAUCAGGUGGAAAAAUGUAUUAAGAAAGUGUGUUCAAUUUGUUGUAGUUAGAAUUACAAAAAAUGUGUGAUUGUGUAAAUGCUAAGUAGAUUAUGUAUAUGAAUCUUAUGAAAUAUAGAAGAUAUUUUCUAUUAGUGUUUGUAUUUUUUUUAAUAAACAAUAUUAGUGUUUUUAGUACUUAGGAAGAAUAUUUUUAUUUUCCUUAUUAAUAUAAAUAAAGGCAAAAGACAUAAGAAAUUGAGAGUUCUAAUGAAAAAAGUUUGAGCUAAAUUUAUUUUAACAAAAAACCAUCUAAUAAUUUUAUUUAAUGAAAAAAACUUAAAAUUUAAUAAAAUUCACAAAAUACAAUAUAAUAAGAACAAAAACUAAAGCCUACUAGAAAAGAAGCCCACGUACAAAAUCAAAUAAAUAAAUAUAUAUAUAUAUAUAUAUAUAUAUAUAUAUAUAUAUAUAUAUCCAGCCAAUGCUCCAAACAGAAAUAAAUAUUUCUUUAAUUACGUUUAGAAAUAAAUAUUUCUUUAAUUACAAGUAUGCCACUACUACCUCCUUAAAGUUUGAUUGUAGCAGAAAUUGACUAAUCAGAACUAGGGUGACGCCCGAUGACAGCAUCUUUUACCUUGUGGCGCUGCUAAGAUCGACCUUUGAUACCGGGCAGAGACCCACAUCUUGAAGCACCAUUAGAACCGUUAGAUCCUCCAAUUUACAAUGAUGCGGAGAUUAAGGUGAAACAAUGCCUCCCGGCAUUGGAUUAGGCUUAUUUCCCUUUUUUUUCCACCCUUUUCCUCUCCUCUUCUCAAACUUUAUAUUCUGUGUUUCUCUUUCUAUAAAAAAUUAAUAAAAGAUGUUAACGUGAUUUAACUGUAACCAUUCAAAUAGAGUCUGUUCAUUUAAGUAUUCAACAAGUCUCUUACAAUUUAUUGAAAAAAAUAUAUAAUGCAAAAUGAAAGUUAUCUAAUUUUUGUCUAAGUGAGUCGUAACCUAGACAGGUCUGGACAGGCUAGGUGGGUGCCUCAGUAGGUCUAGACACCAUUUCUUAAUUUUCAAACGUCUAAGCAUUAAUCGCAGCGGUGAUUAGUUGUUUGGUGCCUUUUUAGAACAAUGUUUUUUUUUUUCUUCAGAAAAUUGAAGCCACUUUACCUUGUUGCCUUUACUUUAUCUUUUGGUGGAUCGUCAUCUAUAUCUUCGCUUUCCACUCCUCCUUUAAACCUGAGAAGUUUCUUUGUCCAAGAGCUUUACUCAUUUAUUUUCUUUUUUUCUGUACUUUUGUUGUCUAUUUUCAUUUAUCUUCAUCUUUUUUUAUAAGUCUUAUUGUUUUAUUUCUGAAAAAAAUAAGAAAAUACAUAAAAUAUAUAAAAUUUCAUAAAAUCCAAGACUUUCGAGAAAUUUAUAGCAUGACAUUAGUUCCCUACAUUUUCUUAUUUUUUUAUGACCAUGACUUGGAAAACUUAUAUGCACAUAGCCUUGUUGAUGUGAAACUAGAGCAUGAUUUGAAGCUUCAUAUGUGAAUCUAGUGAGCUUAAGUAACUCUUGUGAGUUUUUGAGCCUAUAUAUGAUUGAACCAUUAUGCAUCAAUUUCAUUUAUUCUUGUGCGCAUGGUUUUAUUUUAUUUGUAUCUCUAAAACUUAUUUUAUACUUAUCGUUGCAUUGAUCAAUUCAUGUAAAUACUUGAAAAUGAUGUAGGUAUUUGUUUCUUUUGUUUGAGCCUUUUUAGCCAACCCUUAUUAUUAUUUUCUGUAGUUAGCCAGUUGAGCCUGUAUACAUGCCUUUUUUGUUUCUUUAACCUAAAUGUUUUUCACCUAGCCUUGUAAAAAUUCCUACAUGUCCUGUCACAGCCCGUCCCGAGAUUCUAUUUAUCGAGGUUGUGAAAUGACGAAAGUACCCUUGUCGGUUACUAAGGUAUGUGUGUGGCAUGUUUUGAAUAAUGCAUAUUUUCCUAAGUUUUGGAAAAUUUAAGUUGGAUUAAAGGAUGUGUGUAUAUUUGUGUGGUUAGGGAAUUAAAGAGUGGCUUGUUUUGGGUGGACCACACACACACACAGAGGACAAACCCUUUCCUUCCCCGUGCUCUCUCUCUUCCCUCUCAGUUUCUCUCUCUCUCUCUCUCUCUCUCUCUCUCGAACCGUACGGACAAGAACCCGAAAUCCCUCAAAACAUCACGGAUCGACGUCAAUAAGGUGAGUUUCUUCACCCUUGCAACCUCCUGAGUUGAAUGGUAUAUUCUUGGAACUUAGAACCUUCGAAAUCACGUGAAAUCCGAACCCCAGUUUGAUGUCACUGUUCAUGCACAUGUGAAUUGUUGAUUUUCAGGGAAUUCUAAGCUUACAGGGAGCUUAGUGAGGUCCAAAGGAAGCUCGGAGUACUUAGUUUGAAGGUUUUGGACGUCGGGAUCGUAGGGUCGAAGUUGGCCGGUUUUCUUGGAUUUUCUCCGGUGAGAUUUCAUAAUUUUUAGAGCCUUAAACUAGUACAACUUGAUUCUACAUGCUUAGGGCUUCAUUUUGAUAUAAAAUGCGUAGAAAAUGGUGGAGAAAUGACAGAGAACAAGGAGAUUGAAAAAUCUCUAGUUUUCUGGCGACCGGCAAACCAGUCCGGCGACUGGAGGAAGAAGGUGACGCGCGUGGGGGCUCGUGGGUCCGUGCCCCUCCCGACGUGUGGGGGCACGUGCGGCCUCGAAAAAUUAUUUUAAAAAUACCUCGACGUCCGUGACGUCAAGUAGGUCACUGUGGUAUAUUCAUAUACCCAAAUUGAGCAUCGUAUGAGAAGUUAUUUCGAAUUGUCGGUUAUGUGCUUUAAUUAACGUUUUUAUAGUUGUUUCGCAUAUAGGUGAUACCUAUCCUGAGGACGAGCGCAUUCAAGGACGUCACGGGGGUUACGACCCUUCGACUUAUCAGUGAGUGGGCAGUUAUUUUCUGUUAUUACCUAUAUACUACUGAAUUUCCCAGAAAUUGAAUUUAAAUAAAAGUAUGUUUUUAAACUGCCAUGCAUGCAUAUUAUGAAUUAUAUGAAUUAGUAAUUGAUGCAUAUAUAUGUGAAUUGGUGUUGUGGACGCACAGGUGAGUUUUAUGUUAUUCAUAUGAUUUAUUGAUGAUGUGAAUUGUGUUGAACGCUCAUAACCUGCACCCUUGGUGUUAGUGCUUAUAUUAUUCACCCCACACCGCACACUCACCUUGGAUCCAAGUAGGUGCAUGUCGUACAGACCAUUAGAGGGUUCCGACAUGUCGUACAGACCAUAGAGUGGUUCCGACUGUAGGUGAUUUUAGAUUAUUAUACAGCUGUUGAUAAGAGAAGCACUAGAGCGUAUUCUUACACCUUCUUAUCAUACAAACUACUUCAGGUAGUUCCGAUUUAUGUGCAGAGUAGCGUCGUACAGGUGACUGCGGUGACUCCGGUUGGAUAGGAUAUUGAGCUUUAGAAUUAACCGUACAGGACCAACUGCAAGGUCUCUGGUUGAUUCAUUACUUCACCUGUUAUAUUGAUGCAUCCUUAUUCUGUUAUUGACAUUUAGCAUGGCAUACUUUCUGGUUUUUGAUAUAGAUUGGUGAUUUGAGAUAUAUAUAAAGAUUUAUAUGUAUAUUAUGUUCUUUUCUGGGAAAGUAUACAGGUUUUACAGUGAGGGGUUAGAAAUGUUAUUAAUUGAAAUGUUUUCAAAAAGCUUUGUUUUACUGACCCACUCAAUUUUGUUUUGUGCCCCUCCAGGUUCUAGUUAGCAGCGUUGGUGGCCCACGAGGAUUUCCACGGCGUACUGACAGAUUACAUAAAUGUAGGACUCACCUUCGGGUGUUGUAAUUUAGUUAUGGUCCUACUUGACUGCACCUAGUACUUACGCUCUGAAUAUGUGUGUUUCACACUUAAAUUCACUCUAGCAUGCUAGUUGGCUAUUAUUGCUAGUAUUUGGUUUUUAUUUCUUCGUAAUUCUCUUACCUAUUGCUUCCGCGUCACACUUUUGGUUACGUCACACUCACGUGAUGGCCAGCACGCCUUGAUUCUAGGAUUGGGGUGUGUCAUGUCCAGGCUGUGACAUCCCGUCCUGAAAUUUAAUGUAUUUUAUUCCUUGUAGCUAUGAAAUUUCUAAAAUGCCACUAUGAUGCCAUGUAAGCCUUCCACGUGGACCUCGAUUUUCCUUUCACUUUCCUACUCUUCUUUUACUAUUUCUGAAUAUUACCUAUUUUAACGAACACGUGGCCGCAGAUGGAACUGAAUUCGGAGUUUAUAUGAUUUAGUUAUAUUUUCUUUUUAUAAGAAAUAAAUUCAAACUUUUGCAUUUCCUACCAUAUUUCUAUAAGUAAGCUGUGGGACCCAUGUUUAAUUUUUAAAUUGGAAUUUGAAAAUCCCAUGCCGUGAUUCCCCAUGAAUUGUAGUAGAUUUUUCCUAUUUUAAUCAACCAUUUGUAUUCCUCCUUUAAUUUUUAAUUAUAUUUUUUUUCCACUUCCUCUUCCCAAUGCUUCGCCUUUCCCAUGCACCAUUUUCACUUUCAUGCUUCACCUAUCAAAUCAGUUAGACCCAUCGCUUGCACCCCACCUUUCCAAAUUCAUUCAGAAAUCAUGCUUUUUUUUUUAUAUAAAAUAUGAGUAAUGUUAUUCAUAACAUGUUUUUGUACCACACUUUCAUACCACCUUAGGUGACAUUUGAUGUAGACAGCCACAUCAUUUGAAUUAAUCAAAUUUUUAAAUUUAGUUUAUUAUUUAAUAAACUAAUAAUUAGAAAAAACUAGUUAAUUAAAUGAUGAUUGUGAUAUACGAUGAGUCUUUCUCCUUCAUUUCCUUGGGUUUUGCAAAAUUUUCAAAUGAUGUGGUUGUCCAUAUCAGAUGCCACCUAAGAUGGUAUAGAAAUAUGGUAUGAAAAGCAUUACUCAUAAAAUAUUUUCUUUCCCUAUCUAUUUUUCCCAUCGCUCACUCUCUCUCAACCUGCUCAAACUAUCUCCCGUGUCCCCUAACUUCUGCAACCUUCUCUGUUUUGCAUAGAAACCCCCAAGGCACCGUAUAUCAUCAAACUCGCCAUCUCAACGGAUACCAACCUUCAGACCCAAGAGCUAAUGGAAGCAAGCUUCAGCACUUGUGCACCAAGCCAUCUUUCAUCCCUCUCGUCCUCCCUCUACCAUCGACCAGAGCACUACCAUCAGCAUGCCAUUGCAUUUUCAGUGAGCACUAUUAGAGAUAAUAUUGUAAAGGAUAAAACUUAGAGUUGUUAUAUCUGUUUUAUUUGUUUUGGAUAUUUUGGUUAGUUAGGUGAGCUGUCCUUUAUGUUAGAUAGAUGAGGUGUUAAGUACAAGGUUUUAUAUGGUUUGUAUAUAUACCAACAAUGUAAUCUUAUUCAUUAAGAAAUGAAAUCACAGUUAUUCAAUAUGGUAUCAAUCGCCUCUAUCUAAAGACUCUUUUCCCUCUAAUCCUCUUCGCUUCCUCACUGAAGAACUGUUUUUCGUUCUUCUUCCUUUUCCAAACCGUAGAUUUCAACCAUGACGGCCAACUCCUUCGCCUCUGACUCUGAAAUUCAUCUUUCUCCAGUCACAAAUCAGUGCCCUAACUCCUCUCAAUCAUUGAUUUCUUCAAUCACGAUUCAGAAUAUUGGCUCUUUGGUUCCAAUCAAGCUCCCCACCAUAAAUUAUCUUACCUGGAGUGCUCUCUUCGCUCCAAUUUUUCGCUGGUACAAUCUCACUGGCAUUGUUGAUGGCUCUCGCUCCGCCCAAAUUUCUUCAUGAUUCAGUUAGAAAUAGCACAUCUACGUUGAAUCCUGAGUUCGUGACGUGGUAUGAAAAUUAUCAGAAUAUCUUGAUCUGGAUCAACUCGACUCUCUCCGUUUCUCUGAUUCCUUACACGAUUGAUGUUAUGUCUUCUCGGGAAUUGUGGUCCAAACUCGAAUCACGGCUUGCGACGACUUCGCAAUUUCACAUUCAUGAUCUUCGAUCUCGUCUUCGUUAUAUCACUAAAGGCAAAUCUACCACUGCAGUUUCUCUCCAGCAAAUCGAAGAAAUCGUUGAUGCUCUUGCCAGUGCUGGUGCUCCGAUUGAAGAUUCUGAAUUGAUCUCUGUAACUCUUCAUGGAUUACCUAUGUUGUUCAAUGUCAUCUUGGAUCCACUACGAUUGAUGAAUUACAUGGACUCCUCCUCAGUAAGGAACUUCAACUUAACAACCGCAAGAAAACCUCUUCAGCUCCUAUCCAAGCUUUCAAUUCAUCUAUUGGUAUUCUUCCUACACCACCUGAUCCUCCAAUUUCUCAAGUGUAUGUUGCACAACAUUUUUCCAAUUUUAAUCAAGGCCGUGGUAUGGACCAACAUUUCUCUCACUCCAAAAAUCCCCAAAAUCGAGGUAUGGAUAAAAACUUCUCAACUUACAGAAAUAACAAUCAGAGGAACAACUUCUCUCGUUAGAAUAAUCAACGUUAUAAUCGUGGUUCAAGAUCCUUUCAACAAUUAUGGCAGAAGAAUCUCCUGUCAAAUUUGUAAGCAAUUUGAUCAUGAAGCUGUCGAUUGUCCUUAUCGAAUAAAUCCAAACUAUGGCACAAAAUCUCAGAUGGCAUUAUGUGCAAGUACAUCCUCAACUGCACCUACUUGGCUUUUGAAUUCUGGUGCGAGUUCGCACAUGACCAACUCCUAUGCCAAUCUGCAGAAUCCUGAGUCCUACAAUGGUCCUGAGCAAGCCUACAUUGGAGAUGGGAAAGGUUUAUCUAUUCUCUACUCUAGAUCUUCUACUAUAUCUACUUUUUCACAUAAUUUUGAUCUCAAGAAUGUUUUGCAUGUGCCUGCACUUUCUGCGAAUAAAUUCAUUAUUGACAAUUCAUGUUCCGUUCAUCUAUAUCUUUUUCACUUUAUUGUGAAGGAUCUUUCUUUGGAGAAAACGCGUUUUAAAGGCCCUGUGAAAAAUGGAUUUUACCCCUUUCAUGCUUCUUCUCCAAUUCCUGGCCAUCAUCAUGCUUUUGCAACAACAUCUAAAGCUUUUCAAGAUGUGUGACAUCAGCGUCUCAGCCAUCCUACUUUCAAAAUAAUGAAUAAAAUUGUUUCCAAGUCUUGUAUUUCCAUUUCUAAUAGAAUAAGCAAGUCACUGUGUUCUAGUUGUACCUUGGGAAAGUGCUCCAAGCUUCAUUUUCAUUCUGUCUCUCGUAAUACAAGCAAACCUCUGGAACUAUUACAUACUGAUAUGUAGGGGCCAUCAUCAGUUCUCUCUGUACAUGGUUUCAUAUAUUACAUCAUCUUUGUUGAUGAUUUUACCAAGUAUUGUUGGUUCUUUCCUCUUAAAUACAAAUCUGAAGUGUUUGACAUUUUUACUCAGUUCAAACCUAUGGUUGAAAAUCUUUUGUCUACUAAGAUUGUUACUUUAAGGUCUGACUCUGGUGGUGAAUUCCUAAGCAUUCAGUUCUCUAAUUUUCUAAGAGAACAUGGCAUAUCUCAUCAACUCAGUUGCCCUCACACUCCAUAACAAAAUGGCUGUGCUGAAAGGAAGCACAUACAUCUUGUUGAAACUGCAAGGACUCUUCUUGCAACCUCUAAAGUUCCACAUAUCUACUGGUUAAGGCUUUCUCUACAGCUAUCUACUUGAUCAGCAGAAUGCCUAUUACCCUCAAAUAUUCACCUUAGGAAUCCAUUUUUCAUUGAACUCUAGAUUACUCCACUCUUAGGAUUUUUGGUUGUUAAUGCUUUCCUUGGUUAAAGCCAUACACAACUUCUAAGCUUGAUCCAAAGAGUCAAUCAUGUGUAUUUUUGGGUUAUAGCCUCCAACAUAAAGGCUACAAGUGUCUGGAUGUUUCUACUAAGAAGAUGUAUGUAUCUAGACUUGUUGUCUUCAAUGAGCUUCACUUUCCUUUUCAACACAUCAUCCCAUCUCAAAGUCCUACUUCCACAUUAUCUUCUUGUAGUACCUUAAUCCCAUCAACCCUCACCUUUACAUCUAAAAGUUCACACUUGCCAUCCAAUACUUUAUCAUCCUCGUAUCCACCUGUAUCCCAACCACUUCCACAACCACUCCACAACCACCAUCAACCUAUAUCCCCUACUGUCUCAUCUAAUCCACCACUUUCACAACCACUCCAUCAACCCAUUCCUGCACCCAACACUCAUCCUAUGCAAACCAGAUCAAAAUCUAGAAUUUCCAAGCCCAAAGCCUAUACAGCUACUAAACAUCAUAGCACUGAUCAUAUUCCUCAAGAUUAUAUCCCUUCUACCUAUCUUCAAGCCUCCAAAUAUCUUCAAUGGAGACAAUCUAUGCAGGAGGAAUUCAAUGCCCUUCUCAGUACUGGUACUUGGUCUUUAGUUCCUUCUCACCCUUUUCAGAAUUUGGUGGGAUGUAAAUGGCUUUUCAGAAUCAAACACAAACAUGAUGGUUCUAUAAACACGUUUAAAGCUCGUUUAGUUGCAAAGGGAUUCCAUCAGCAACAAGGUUUGGAUUACACAGAAAAAUUCAGUCAUGUAGCCAAACCUGUUACAAUUUGAUUGCUUCUUACUCUAGCAUCCAAGUUCAAUUGGUUUCUCAAUCAACUUGAUGUGAGUAAUGCCUUUCUCCAUGGUAAUCUUUCUGAGUCAGUGUUUAUGAUUCAACCUCCCGGAUUUGAGGAUUCUUCCAAAACUCAUCAUGUGUGUAAAUUGCACAAAUCUCUGUAUGGUCUCAAAUAGGCUCCUCAAGCCUGGUAUGAAAAAUUGAAAAAAACUUUAUCCUCACUUAGUUUUCUUGGAUCUCAAAAUGAUCACUCCCUCUUUGUCAAAAAGACUCCUAAUCUUGUAUUCAUCUUGGUGUAUGUUGAUGAUAUCCUUGUCACCAGUCCAAAUUCCUAAGCUUGCAAGGAUACAAUCUCUCAGUUAAGUGCUUUCUUUCCAAUUAAAGACUUGGGUCCCUUACACUAUUUUAUUGGAAUUAAGUAAAAAGGUCAUCUUCUGGAAUUUUUAUCUCUCAGACCAAAUAUAUCUUGGAUUUACUCAAGAAAGCACAAAUGGAUGGUGCAAAACCCUGUGUUACUCAUCUCAGUACUUCCACAUUGGAUCAUACUUCUCCACUAUUGUCCAAUCCUGCAGAAUAUAGAUCUUUGGUGGGUGGAUUGCAAUAUUUAACUUGGUCCAGACCUGACUUAUCUUUUGCAGUCAAUUUGGUUUGUUAAUUCAUGCAACAUUCUAGAGAAUCUCACAUUCAAGCAGUGAAGCGCAUAUUUCGGUAUCUCAAAGGCACCAUUGAUCUUUGUCUCUAGUUUCCUAAGUGUUCUCAACCCCUUGCCAUCAAUGCAUUUUCAGAUGUCGAUUGGGCAGGUUGUCACUUAGAUAAAAGAUCAACUGGUGGGUUUUGUGUUUUUCUGGGAGAUUCCAUUAUAAGUUAGAGUGCUAAGAAACAACCUACAAUGGCAAGAUCUUCCACUAAGGCUGAGUACAGAUCCCUUGCAAAUACAGCUGCAGAAAUAACAUGGAUUUGCAAAUUAUUGGUUGAUGUUGGCUUGGUUCUUACUCUCCUAAACUAUGGUGUGACAAUAUCUUUAGCCAAAAAUCCCAUCUUUCAUGCACGGACUAAACAUGUGGAAAUUAAUUAUCACUAUAUCAGGGAAAAAAUGUUGUCUAAUGAGAUCUUAGUUCAAUUUGUUUGUUCACAUGACCAGCUUACUAAUAUCUGCACCAAAUCCUUGCCUAAGGCCAUAUUUCUACUUCUCAGAGCCAAACUAUCACUUCAUCUACCUUAGUUCAGUUUGAGGAGGAAUAUUAGAGAUAAUAUUGUAAAGGAUAAAACUUAGAGUUGUUAUAUCUGUUUUAUAUUUUGGUUAGUUAGGUGAGCUGUCCUUUCUGUUAGAUCGAUGAGGUGUUAAGUACAAGGUUUUAUAUGGUUUGUAUAUAUACCAACAAUGUAAUCUUAUUCAUUAAAAAAUGAAAUCACAGUUAUUCAAUAAGCACCACAACCACCUCAACUCCCCACCUUUUUUUUCCCGUACCACCUCUCAUUCUCUCUCUCUCUUGGUGUGCUCACUGCAUAAGAUCCCCAACGAGUUCCCAUGGAUUCCAGCGAAACUUCUGUCAAAUUUGCGAGUGGUGACACUCGAACUCACUUGGAAUCGAUCCUAGGUACUAAAUAUCUUCAUGCAAGUGUUUUUUUUUUUAGCUGGAAAUCACUAAGAUUGGACAUGCAUGGAUACUGUUUCCUAUUUCCAGAAGCUGCCGAACCUCACCAAGCUCCAUUUGUUGAAUCUGAGGCGGAUUCGAUAUCUACUCCUCCAAAUUUGAUUUUGGGUAGGAAUCUAAAACUUCUUUUGAGACUUAAAUCUGUGUUUUUUCACUUGGAAAUGCAUCGAAAUCGAACUCGGGAACCUUGACUUAUUUUUGGGUUUUUCUCUAGUUUCCGACAGGAAACUCCGCCCUUGCAGGCCAUUUUCUAGACAGUUCCGGCCACCUUGAAACCAUUUGGUAUACUUAUGUUUCUCUUGUCCCAACUUCUAAUUCAUAUAAUAUAUGCUGGUAUGCUGGUUUGGUGGGAAAUUUUAGGAAAGAAUGUUGUUGGCAUACUGUUUUUACAACAAGGAUCAAAAUGCAAAAUUUGCUAAAAGCUUUAGGGUUGUUUGGUAUUUUAAUGAAAUUAGGGCAGUUUAGCAAUUACCUCUAGUUUUAGGGGGAGUUUUGGACAUAUUAACUGUAAUCUACCUAUUUUGUGUGUGAUUUAUGUUUUAAGUAUUUUGCUAAGUCAAUGUGACUUGGUAUAGGUACAAGCUUAUUCGGAUUUACGAAUGACAAGGCUUAUCGAGAGCAAGCAAGCUAUGGUUAUGUGAGUUGGUAUUUUUGUUUUUACGUACAUAUAUAUGUAUAUGUGUUUUUUCCAACAACUGCUUUUAUAUAUUAUGAUGUGACAUGCCAUAUUUAGCUUUACAAAUAGACUUUUUGCACACUUUAUGUUUUUAUAUCAUUUGUGAGCAUAAACUGUGGCAUGACAUCCUUGCGUUUUACCUGCUCAUUAUUGCUUGUUUGUACGAUGUCUCUUAGUUAUUUGUACUGUACUGGGCUAAGGACUAGAUUCACGUGUAGUUCACAUGCACCGUUUACAUUCGCUUUGGAUCCAGAGUUAGGUGUCAGCAUGUCCUUUUGUAUGAUGUGUUGGACUCGUAUGUAAUGCAACUAGUGCAGCUCAUGUGAUGUAGUACUAGAAUGUAAAACUUACACCCAGCCUGUUCCACUGUCUAAAUAUCUCUGCAGUGGACAUGUGUGCCUACAUAAAUUAAUGAGCAUUGUUUUCUUAUGAUAUCGAUUUGAGAUUUAAUGUUGUGAUAUCUUGUUGGUGUACCCUACAUCUUGUCACUCACUUUUGCUGCAGGGUACCGUAUUACAUACUAAUAUUAUAUUAUUUUUGGGAAACCAUAUACUUGUUUUAUAGCAAGGGGUUACACUUUUCGAAAAGGUUUUACAAAACUUUAUUUUUAGGCCCUCUCACCCUUGUUUUUCGCCCCUCCAGGAUUUUAGUGGCAGAUGUUUCUUGAUGACGAGGAUUGUUGGCCAAAGCUGUUAUGUAGGAGACUUCUCCUUUCGGUAUAAAUGUCUUUACUCUUCUCUUAUUGCAAUUUAUCUAUGCUCUGACAUCACUUGUGUGAUAUGGGUUCAAUUCCACUCACAUGUGCACUCUAAAUUAGACACUUUUAUGUUUUAAUUUAUUCAUAUUUUCCACAUCACUACGUUUUAUGGCUUCGUCACCUUCAAGGCCAGCACAUCAUGAUUUGGGUGUUCAUGUAGACAUUUUGGAUCAGGGUGUGUCACAGGCUUCUAGCAUAUAGCUUUUUAUUUUUCUUUUUCUUUUCAACAAAUUCCAAAUAAAAGGUUCAAAUUCUAGUUAUGUUUUUUGUGAAGAAAGAAAUUGAUAUCAAAAUUUGAAUUUUUUUGUCGAAAUAUUCACAAAAAUAUUUUACAACAACAUAAUAUAAAAUUAAGGGUAAAAGAUUAUUUACUACCCUUAUGUUUCGUGGUUUUCAACAUUUAGUACAUCAUGUUUUUUUUGUCCCAGAGUCAUACCUAAAGUGUUAAUUUUGGGAUAGUCUCACACAUCCGUUAGUCAAAUUGUUAAUUCUCUAGUUCAGUGAUGACGUAGCACUCAUGUGGACAAUGAAUGGGCACCAUGUGUCAUUAAAAAUAUCAAAAUAGUUAAUUAAAUAUAAAAAAAAGAAAAAAAAAUAAACAUCCCUCCCCCCGCCCCUAACCCAGAAGAAGAAGGUGGAAGAACAAAAAAAAAGAAUCUACAACCCAGAUGGAGGAGGAAGAAGAAGAAGGAAAAAAAAAUGAAUCUGCAACCCAGAAGAAGAAGGAGGAGGAAGAAGAAGAAGGAGGAAGAAAAGGAAGGAGGAAGAAUGAGGAAGAAGAAGAAGGAAAAAAUAAAAAAUACAGCCGAAUUUGCAACUCAGAAGAAGAGGAAGAAGAAGGAGGAAGAAGAAGAAGGAAAAAACAAAAAAACAAAAAAUGAAUCUGCAACCCAGAAGAAAAGGAAGGAGGAAGAAAAGGAAGAAGAAGAAGGAAAAAAAAAACAAAAAACGAAUCUACAACCCAGAGGAAAAAGGAGGAGGAAGAAGAAGAAGGAGGAAGAAAAGGAGGAGGAAGAAGGAGGAAGAAGAAGAAGAAGAAGAAGGAAAAAGAAAACCAAAAAUCCGAAUCUGCAACCCAGAAGAGGAAGAAGAAGAAGGAGAGAAAAAAAAAACGAAUCUGCAACCCAAAAGAAGAAGGAGGACGAAGAAGAAGAAAAAGAAGGAGGAGGAAGAAGGAGGAAGAAGAAGAAGAAGGAAGAAGAAGAAGAAGGAGGAGGAAGAAGAAGGAAGAAGACGAAGAAGGAGGAAGAAUGAGGAAGGAGGAAGAAGAAGGAAGAAGAAGAAGGGAGGGAGAGGGUGAGGUUGCGGGGAAGACGAAGAGGUGGGUGAUCGGAGGGUGGGCAUGUGUGGGAUUUGGGGAAGAUGAAGGUUUAUUUUAUUUUAUUUUAUUAUAUAUAUAUAUUAAUUAUAUUAAUUUAUUUAUUUUAUAAAUAAUUUAUUUUUAAUUUCCACGUGGAUGACACGUGGUGCCCAGUCAUUGUCCACAUGGGCACCACGUCACAGUUAACGGGAGACUUAACAAUUUGACUAACGGAUGUAUGAGACUGUCUCAAAAUUUACACUUUAGAUAUAACUCUGGGAUGAAAAAAACUUGAUGUACUAAAUGUUGAAAACCACGAAACAUGAGAGUAAUAAACAGUAUUUUACCCUAAAAUUAAUUUAAAAAAAGUUAACACAAACAAUAAAUUUGCCUCAAAUCAAAUUAUCAUAUAAAACCACAAAAACCUCAAGUUUAGAAAUUCUAUUAUAAAUGUGUCCCCCAUUAGAGACAUAUUACUUUAGGACACAGAGAAUUCUUUUAAUUCUCUAAAUGAGCCCUCUUGUGUGGUGGUUGGAAUCAGAGAUGCUCCUACACUAUGUUUGGAUGAAGGAAAUAAACAUGAAAUUUAGAUAAAAGUCAGAAUUUAUAAAUUGACGUGCACCAAUUCUCUUAUUUGGAUUUAUAAACAUAAAAUUUAGAAUUUCCGUGUGAUAAAAAAAUUUGGAAUUUUGGACCUCCAAUUCCCAAGUUUAAAUUUCAUGUAAAUAGAUGUCAUUCUCAAUUUCUAUAAAUGAGAGUUUAAAAAUAAAAAUUUUUGUAUUUCAUUAUUCUUUUAGAUUAACCAAACAAAAAAAUUCACAAAUUAUAAAAAAUAAAAUGUGCUCAUUUCAAUUUCCUCCAUUUUAACAUUAAUAUCCUCGGUAAUCUUACCUAUGUUACUUCCGAAUAAGAAGAAUCCCCCAAAAACCAAGAAAAUGGAAGGAGGGAAUGUUCAGAUCAACUGGCACGUGAUACGACCCCAAUUCUCUAACCCCUUAAUCAACCUGCAAGUCACAAAGGAUAGAGAGGGAGAAGGAAGAAAGAGAGAGAGAGAGAGCAGAGCUCUUGAAUUGUUUUUUGGUUCUGUAUUUCUGUUUGUAAAUUCUGAUCUCCCACAAUACUGAGAGCUAGUGCUCUUAUACAAGUUACAACUUAUCAUGCCAGCUGGACAAUUAUAACAAACUACACUAAAACAGGAAUAAGACUAAUAAUCCUAAGAAUUAAACCCUUAAUAGUGAUUAAGCUAAUCACUACUUACAGAUCAUAUCAUUAUCCCCCCCCUUAAAGAACAACCUUGUCCUCAAGGUUAAAGAAAGAACAACUUGUUUUAUUUCUGCAAUGGUCCAAUGGGGUUGUGACUGUUGCUGCACUUCGAAUUUGACAAAAUCUUGUGUCUCCAGAGUCCAACAAAAUUGACAAGCAAGUCAAUCGCAGAACCAUCACUUUCAUGAUUUGAACUGGCUGAUUAGAAUUUGUACCAUAAAAGGCACACUCAGCUAACUCCUUCAGCUGUAAUUCAGUCUUUGUGUCAGUUAUGGACUCCAAACCCUCAUCAGCAGUAUACACUACCGCCCUGAGUUGAUAUCGAUUGCACACAGAAUUCGAAGAUCCUUGAACAAAGACUAGUGUAGACAUAGCAGUUUCCAAUACGGCAGUCUGGGUGGUAUAGAUCUCUUCUGCAAUCUGAUACAUAGUGGCAGCGUUUCCCAGCUUAUGUGUUACACAAUGCUUAGUGUCCAAUCUCUCCAUUACAUGAUCUACAUACAUAUAUGAGUAGUCUGAAUAAACAAUGAUCUUAUAAAACUGAGCAAGAUGUUCAAAGAAGGCAUAAACUCCAGCUUUCAUCGCAGACCCACUGAAAAAGCAAGUCAUUUGAAACCCCAAGAAAUAAGUACACCAUAUCAAGGGGUUCUUGUUGUUGCAGAUCUUCCGAGUCUGUUCUGAACUUCAGACACAAGUGUGCAAGCAUUUGAUCCUGCAGGCAUUGAGGCAGUUGGUAAUAUUUGACAUCGAAGUCACUUGGCACACCAUUUGCAGUGGCUUGUAAUUUUGCAAUAACGUCAUUGGAAUCAUUUUCAUAUGAGACAGCAACUUCAUCCAAAAUUAGAACAAGCUUCUUGCAGUGUCCACACCAAGGAGCAUAGAACUCCAGCCACAUAUAUUUUCUGUACUUGAUGUACUCUUGGAUGCCGUCAGUGACUACGACCUUGAGAUUUCCAAUGAUAAAGCUUAUGUCUUCUUUCUUAUAUUUCUCAGCAACUUCACGAUAUGUGGAUUUGAAAACAUCAGAAGACUCACUAGCGAAGUUCAGAAACAACAUAGCCUUCGUAAUUGGAUUGUUAAAGAAUUCAACCCCAUCAUCAUCACGCAUUGUAUCUACCACAUUAAGCACCUUAUCAAGUUUCCCAGCAUCACUCAACGUCUUCAUUAUAAACUGAUAGCUUGGAAUGUCCCCCGUGAGUCUUUUCACCCUCAACAAAACAUAGGUAAACUCAUUCGGAUUGACUCCCUUGUCGAGCAUUUCUCCAUAAACCUCCUCAUACUUACAAGCUAAUAGCGUGGCUGUCACAUCAACCAAUUGAAGCUUCUGUCCAAACACUGUUUGGCGCUCUAAGAACCUGUCUAUAAGAUGUACGGCAAGGAAUUGUGUCUCAUCCAUAAGCUCAAACUUGUAAUGGACCUUAAUAAGCCAGUCAAUGAGAAUCGCCCUCAUUUUCUGGUUGAUGUCAGGUUGGUGAGCCAUGUAACUUGGAGAGACAGAGCUUGACUUCCCUGGAGCUUUUAAAAUGGAGAAUUGAGUUUUUUGAUAUGGGACAUACCAUUGAGACCCUGCCUUAGCUAUAAUAGCCUCCAAUGUAACCUUAGAACAUGUCAAUGAAAGCCACUGUUGCUUGAAGAUGCCCUUAGUGUGUUCUACCACAAGCCAAGACUCAAAAGCUGAAAAAAUUAAGGAAGUGGUAUUGCCUCCCCACAGAGCAACUUUGAUAUCCUUUUCCCACAAGAACUCAAUUUCCAUUAUGUAGUCUGUAAUGGUUGAUGCAUUCCAAAAAGGCUUGAGCAUCUUCCAUAAAGUGGCAAUGUGCAACUUAGAGUUGCCAAGAGUAGUCAAGUGCAAAAGUCUUUGAACCUCGAAAAGAUUAUCCUUGUGUUUUUCUCUUUUGACAUUCUGUAAGUUGUACUGAUUAGCAUGGGGUGGUUCCCAUGUCCCAACCCUCCUAACUACAACCCAAGAUACUAGUGAUGGCAUAGCUGCGUGAUGCCAGUCACCACCACAAUGCCUCGAACAAAAGCAUGACUGUUGUUUACCCAUGCGCUUGCCCUCCUUGCACUGAAGAUAGAGCAUCAGUUUUACAGCUUGAGCCAAUGGAUCUCCGGGAUCCCAUACCGACCGCAAGUCAAGGUUAGUAGGGAACAACACAGAGAAAUCAGCCUGUAGAUCGAUAAUAUUCUCACACUCUCUCUUCGGCAUUUCAUCAAACACUUUCUUUGCAUUCCUAACGAUCACAAACUUGCCAACCUCAUACAUGCCGACCCAACCAUUUAUCUCAUUCAAAUAAGCAUCAUUCAUGUCCACCUUGCCAUCAGUAUAACACGCAAGGGAACUAUGGAAAAACCAAUGCCACAUGGCCUUCCGAUUUUUAAAAUUGUAAAUCAAAGAUCUCAAUACCUCAUGUCUACAUUUGGUGGUGUUUGUAUUCAUUGACGGCUGCUUGCAGAGGCGAAUAAUCUGUAAUUUGACACUCUUGUGGUCUCCAUAGCCCUUAAUGUUGCUGGUAUCAUUGGCAUCAUGGUUUGCUAGUUGAGAUAAGGCUGCAGUUUUGCCAACGAUUGCUGAAAAUGGGAACGGCACUGUGGUCACUGUCGCAACAGGCAUGGGUUUCUCAAAAUGUUGCAGUGGAAUUGUGGCUGCCACAGACUCUUUCAAUUGGGGCUUGACCGGAUAACUUGCAAAUGCUCUCAACAUCGGUGACGAUAAGAGCAAUGGCAAAAUGGAAUGGUCUUGGAUUGUCGACGGAAUUCGCAGUGGGUUACCGUCUCCGUCGUACGUCUCAAGUUUUUGAAGUUUCUGAUGACCUGCCUCGAUCGAUUCAGCUUCCGUGGAACACAUUGAGGCUGGAUCAGAAUCUCCCUCGACGCCGAGAACCAAGUCACGGCGAAGUAAAGCAAUUUCACGGCGGAUGGGUGCCAGAGCAUAAUCUAUAGCUUCACGGAACGCAACGCGCAUCGAGCGCAUCGAAGCUUCGAAGGAGUCGAUUGCAGCGGAGAGGCUUGCAUCCAUGGCAUGAAGACGGGUCGGGUGGGCAUGCACAUGAGGGAAACCAGGAUUCGAGAAGGAUGAUACCAUUGAUACGACCCCAAUUCUCUAACCCCUUAAUCAACCUGCAAGUCACAAAGGAUAGAGAGGGAGAAGGAAGAAAGAGAGAGAGAGAGCAGAGCUCUUGAAUUGUUUUUUGGUUUUGUAUUUCUGUUUGUAAAUUCUGAUCUCCCACAAUACUAAGAGCUAGUGCUCUUAUACAAGUUACAACUUAUCAUGCCAGCUGGACAAUUAUAACAAACUACACUAAAACAGGAAUAAGACUAAUAAUCCUAAGAAUUAAACCCUUAAUAGUGAUUAAGCUAUCAUAUCAGCACGACAACAAGCCGGUCCUAACCCUAGAUUGCCACCCGAUUCCCGGCACUCUCGCCACUGGAGGCGCUGAUUUAGACAUCAAGGUAGUCGCUCAAAAUGUUGAUUUAAUUUUGUUACGUUUUUUUCUUGCUAUAGUGAUUUCAUGUUGUUAAUUGUUGGACUAAAAGUUUAAUAUUUACCAGCUUUGGUCAAUAAGUUGGAGCGAAACGGAGAAGAAACUCCCAGUAGCUUCAUAUCAAAACAGCCUUUCUUACCAUAGUUCCGCCGUGAAUGUUGUUCACUUGUCUCGCAUUCUGGCAAGUGAAUACCUAUGUCUCAGUGUUGUAUGUUCCACUCAGAAGUAUAGAGGGGUUUAGAGAAGAAGAAUGAGACAGAAUAAAAGAAACACCAAGGGAAUUAGGAGAUAAUAGAAGAGAAAGAGAGAGAUAAGAAAGAAUUGAGGAUGGAAGAGAGAUUAGGGUUUAGAAGGCCGAGAGGGAAUCAAUUAGGAUAAUUUCAUUCAUCAAUCUUGUUUGUCACUACUGGAUUACUAAGAAACAUAAAAUUCAUUAAUUUAUUUCUUCAAUAAGAGUAGUGCUGAAGUUUCUUUGAUUGGUGAAUGAAACUUGCUAGUUAAACACCAAAUCAGAUUGGCAUGAAUGAAACUUAGUGAUUGGUGAAGGCUUGGUGCUUUGUUAUCUGCUCUACCUACCUAUACCCCAUCUGUCUUCUCUAGAAUUACUGCCAAGCCUAACCUUCUUAGUCUUAUACACAUCCUAUUUCUUCAAAAUUUUAUCAUCCUAAAUUCGCCAUAGUUAUAUUAGAUACUAAGGUGAAUAAUUUGAAUUCAGUUUAUCUAGUUGAUUUAGCCCUGGCAAUCUUGCAUGUUGGAGUUCAAUUGCAGAUGUAUUUCAAUCAAAUUGUCAGAUUCUGUUUAGAGCUUUUCAGGCCAUAUGUUUGUUGCAUGAAUCCUAUGUUCACGACUGGCUUUUCUUGAGUUAGAUUUCACCACAAGGAUGUGCUCGAUCUCCUGUGGUCCAUUGAUGGUGCAUAUCUCAUCUCUGGGUCAGUGGAUAAUUCUUGCAUCAUAUGGGAUGUGAACAAAGGUGAGAGAGAAUGCCCAACCAAAAUAACUAUAGCAAAUAUCUGUUUAUUGAAAGAUCAAGAAUGACCUUACCUAUUUCUAUUCCUCAGGUUCUGUCCAUCAGAUUCUGCAUUCCCAUUGCCAUUAUGUUCAAGGUAUGGCAUGGGACCCAUUGGUCAACUACGUUGCUUCCCUUAGUUCUGAUAGGACUUGUCACAUUUAUGUCAAGAAACCUCAAUCAAAAGGGACAGGUGCUGAGAAGGUAAAUUAUGUUUCUGAGCAUGUUAUUUUGAAGGCCGAACAUCCACUUUCGGAUGAUUCUAAGGUUGGCAGAUAGUAAAUUGUCUAUGUAUUUUGUUUAUCAUAAUAAUAGAUGGAAUAGACAUGUGAAGCUUCUUGACGUUUUAAACUGCAGUUUGCAAAAACCAUCUCUUUCUUGAUGAGACAUUGCCAUCUUUCUUUCGAAGAUUAGCAUGGUCACCUCAUGGAUCUUUUCUGCUUGUUCCAGCAGGUACUAGCCUCAAUACAAUGCUCACUGAAAUGUGAACUUAUGUAGUGUAAUUUUAUGUCCACAAUGGUCGGUUGUGUUCCAAUGGGAAUUGUAUGUUUGUUUCCCCCCUCCCACCUUUUUGUUGGCAAUUAUUGUUGUAUAGACCUCUAGGGGAGGACUGUAACUGAUUUAGUACCAUGACCAUUGGGUUAAGUCUGCUUUGGAGAAAUGUAAUUUGCUCCAUUAUCUUUUAGAUGGACAAUGUCAUAUUCAUGAAUCUCACUAUCAGUUGCAAUUUGGGAAGAUCUAGGUUACUUAAGUAAGGUAAUAAAUCCAAAUGCCAACUUGAGUUAGCACACAUGGAGCCACCCUUGGGUGGUUACCAAUGGUAUGAGAUCAACUAGUUGUGAGAUUCAAGGGCCAUUGUUACGAUGACAUCUUGGGGCUACUGAAGGAAUGGGCCACGUCAAAGAGUAUAUGUGUCAUAUGUGUGAUUUUCUUGUUGGUGAAGAUGCGAAGGCCUCAAGGACAAGAAACUUUGAUACCCUUAAAUCCCGCAUAGGCUAUGACUGGGUAGAUUUAGAGUGCUUAAGUAAGUCGUAUAAUGUUUAUAUCCAUUAUCUGUGCCUUUUGUGAAUAAGCUUUUAGCUGUAUAGUGGUUGCUUAGUUUUAUUUGUUUCUGUGCAUUAUGUGUUGUAGGACCUUAAGUAUGUCAUGCUAUUGUUUUUUGUUUAAUUGAGUUACGCAAACUCAAAAGAGCCCAUUAUUUGCAAUCAUGUUAAUUUUCAUGACUCUUUGAAGUGAAUUUAAUUUAUGAUGAUUUGAAGUAAACGUCAUUUUAAUUUCCAUUGUUGGUAGAUUCGCACAAGACAUGUAUGAUUGUAUUAGGCUAUAAAAUGAGUGUACAGCAACUCUGGAAUUUUAUGGACUAAAGCGUCUAUAGAAUAACAUACUUCAGUUUUAGACCUUUCUGACUUGUGACUACUUCUGCUGGAUUUUUAAGUUAGCAUAGGUGCUGCUGGAAUUCAGUCUGGUAGAUAUUGCUAUCUUGGUUUAGGGCCAUUUUGUUUGAUAGGUUAAGCACCUUUUUUAAGGCUCUUACUCAGGUUGAUUUUGUGCUUUUCUGUCUUUAAUAUAAGUAUCCUAGACUUGCUUUGGAAUCAUGGUAGGUAUGUACAUAUAUGCCUAUACGUACACAAAUAAGAGUAUGCCUAUAAGUGUAUGUAUGCACCUAUGUAUGCAUGUACGUAAGGAUCGUACUUAGUUUGAACUUUUAAUGGGUUUUUAUAAUUUUGUUUAGGAUUUUUCUUGGUGCAUAUAUGUUUUAAAACAAUGAAAGGAUAAUCUGAGAUGGCCCGUUGUAUGUUCCUGAAAGAUGAUGGUGAUUUAGACAUCCCUCUAAAUCCUGACUCCCUACUAUCUAUACUUACCACUAAGGUUUGGGUUCUUUGCUCCUUUUCUUUCGACACAACAAUCUUCCAAUUUCAGGUUCCUACAAAGUAUCACCCACAACAGAAACAGUAAAUACUGCUUAUGUAUUUUCUAGGAAGGACCUUUCAAGGCAAGGCAUAGCAUUUACAUUUUGGUUCUGAAUAUUGCUUUUCUUAAAAUGAUUCGUCUUGUAUAUUAUGGAAUAAAGUCCACCUAAGUUUCGUGUUGGGUUUCAUAGACUGACCCUGUGCUUUUCAGUUCACAAUGGUCUAGUAAAUGAACUAAAUUUGAAGGGAACUUUCUUCUUGCAUUAUUCUCCCAUUUCAUGUUAACACAUGCCUGCUGUACAGCUCCCUGGUGCCUGCAAACCUGUUAUAGCAGUUCGUUUCCACCCUUUGCUUUUCAGCCUUCGGGGGUCAAAUCAACGUACACACACUGGUUACAUUGUAAUUUCAAACAUUGUUGAUUGAUGAUAGUAAUAUGCAAUAGUCUUUGGUGAAUUUGCAACUUGGUUCUUUAACCUUCCCCACCGUAUUGUUUUUGCUGUGGCCACUCUAAAUUCGUUGUACAUUUAUGACACAGGGUGUUCCUCCAAUUGCUAUCUUUGCUGGUUUUCAUAUGUAGCCAUAACAGACAUUGCAUGGUAAACUUUGUAUCAGUUUUCAGCAAUAAACUAUUUAUUUGAUGUUUUAAUUAUGAUAAAGUUGAACUCAGAUAUUUUUUGUUCAAAAGGUCACCCGACGCUCAUUGUCUAGCAUUGUCUUCCCAAGAUGGUUACUGCACUCUAGUUGAAUUUGAAAAUGAUGAACUAGGGUCGCCUAUCUAUUUAAUAGGUUUCUUGUCCUUGCAUUUUCUAAAUCUAUUUAUCACUAAUUUUUGUAUCCAUCAUUUCUUCCAUUGCAUCGUAACUCCUGUUUCAUUCUGCUAUAGAAGAAAAGAAAGUUGUGGGUGACGAGAAGAGAAGUCCAGUUCACAAGCCAGAGGACAUGGUCAAUGAAGCUGCGAAAAAUGAUAGUCCUGUUGAGAAGGCAGAAAACGUACCGACAGAAGCUAUGGCAGCUAAUAAUCUUAUUACAACAGACAGUGGAAAAUCAAAAGCAGAAUGGAAUCAACUCACAGAAGCAGAAACGAAAGGAAAAGAAGUCGGGGGUGAAGAGAAUGAAUGCCCAGUUGAGAAAGCCAGAUGACAUGGUACUUGAUAGUAUUGUUGCAGAGAAAAUCGGAAAAUCGGAAAAUCAGAAGCAGAAAGGAAUGAAGGUAAAAAUGAAUUACCAAUUAUAAAUAAGCCUACGAAGCGGCGUAUUACACGCAUGGCAAUUGACCCCUGGUAGCUGCCAUUCUCACCUCUAUAAACACUUGGUAGUUAAUGUAAUGUUUCACUUGCCGGGUUCUGAUAUCUCAGCUGAUUUUCAGUCAUAGGAUUCGCUGUGGAGUAAAUUAAGUUGUAGUUACUGAAGCUAGAAAGAUGAUCCUUUUGGUCCUUUUUGGGAUGUCAAUAUUUGUAAAAGCCAAAUCCAUAUAGAAAUGUUUUCACUAUUGAGUAGUAUGUUCCUUUUUCAAUCCCGGCGUUUGGUUGUUAGCAUAAUUUUUGUACUAUAUUUAACACAAGGACAGUAGUUGACUAUUACAAUAGUUAAGAAGCUUUCUUCACCCUCCCACACAAGAGAAGUGGAAUAAUUUGUGAUGGAUUGAUGAUCGAUAGAACAUCGGCUGUUGAUUCCAUAACGCUCGAGUAGGAAGGCGAUUUCAUGUUCAAUACGUUGUUUCAAUCCCGUUUUGUAUCCUAAACCACAAAAACUAGUCCUGAGUGAGUCGGAAAGCAGUGUAAUGGUUGACAACCUCAUAGAAAAGCUCUACAAACGACAUUGUUGAAAUUGACGUGAAAUUGAACUCUUGUUCUACUAGGACAACAAUCUUACGCAACUGUUUUCUGAUACCGUCUAAGAAUGUCUUCACCGACGAGAAGCUUCCGUUGGGUACGUGAAGCUUUGAGUUUAAUCAAAUUGACUAGAAUAAUGUGCUUUACAUCAUGGGUGAUUAUUCCAAUUGCAUGACAUCUUGAAUCACAUUGAUUUCGGUGAGAGUAUGUCCAUUUCAAUUAAUUAAAGUGAAGCUCUGUUGGACUUAAGUGUGGAACAACUGAAAUGAAACGAAGAAGCUGAUGAAAUGAGCACUAAAUUACAUGAGAUGGGCCUCAACUUCCUCCAACUGUUGUAGCUCAUCUCUUGUGAAUGUCAAAUAUUAUUUAGAAACUACAGAUUGGGACAUUUCUUUGGCACAUGUAAUGUAUUAGUCCCUUCCAUUCACAUCUCUCAAAUAAGCUUAUUUGAGGGAUCCUAUAUAGGGUCCAUUUAAGGCCAACCAUGAAGGUCCUCGUAAGUGUAAUGGACUCAAAGGCUGCACAUUGCCCUAAGAAUCUUAAGUUUGAUCUUUCUUAGAUUCAGCAACAAAGACCCCUGCGAUAUCUUUAUGUAUGGAUUCCUUGCCUUUGAAUCAAAGUCUAUGUCCGAUAGGGCCAUGGUUUGGGUCACUUCGACUUCCCUUUUUUUUUUUUUAGAAAGGACGGGGCCUUACUUAUUCUGUUCAGGGGGGAUAAAAGACAAUGAAAGAGAUCUGGGGGCGUUGUCGAAAUAGGCACCUGCUUAGGGCCCCUACUUUGGAGGGGCUCCCAAUUUUUAAACAUAUAUAUAUAUAUAUAUAUAUAUAUAUAUAUAUGUAUAUAUAUACAUAUAUAUAUUUACAAUUCAAAUUUAAUAAAAAUAUCAGAAAAUAAAAUCAUAGGCAAUGAUAUAAUUUUACACAAAGAAAUUUUUUACAUGUAUCAAUCUUGAAAGACUUUUGAAACAUGGUGAGCAUUCUAAUAUUGAUGGGAAAAACUUAUUGCUAGAGCUAAGAAACUUUACCAAAUAAAAUAAUUCGAGCAAUGGAAGUAUUGAAAUAUCUUAGACUAAUGGAUGGUUGUUUUUUGAAUGCAUGGUUUGCUUAUAGAAAUUUGUUAACCAUACCAGUUACAGUUGCCUCUACAGAAAGAAGUUUUUCAAAAUUAAAGUUGAUCAAAUAUAUCUUUGAUCAACUAUGUCACAAGAAAGACUAAAUGAGCUAACUAUUUUGUCCAUUGAAAAAUAAUUAGUUGAAAAAAUAGAUUAUGUAAACGUAAUUAAUAUAUUUGUGACUAAAAACACGAGAUGGGUAAUUAGGGGUGAGUAAACGGGUCCAGGACCUGGGGGUCGGGACGGGUACUUGUGAUCCGGGGCAGGUUCGGGUGGGUACAAAUUUAUCAAAGAAGAAACGGGGUGGGGCAGAUCCAAAACUUAGAAAGCAUGGGGCCGGAUCGGCCCGUAUCUAAUAUGAAAUGAAAGGAUUGGAUUAAGGGAUUGAAUUUGUAAUGAACGGAUUGGAUCAAGGGAUUGAAUUUGUUUCUCACCAGGUGGAGUCUGCUCACUAUCUCGAUUCGACUUUUGUUUUUUUCCCAAUCCUCUCCAGAGUCCUGAGUCUCCUCCUCCUAUACACCACACAGCCUGCCAUCAUCACCGAUUUACCAUCAUCUUCUCCUGACUCCCAAUCUCGAGUUGCCACCACCACCUCCCCAUCACCGCGUCGAGAACACCACCAUCAUCCUACAAAAAAUUAGUUAAUUUCUGAAAUAGGGUUUUUUAUUUAUGUGAGUUUCUGAUUUAGGGAUUGAAGUUUUUGAAUUUGAAUUUGGAUUUGUGAAAAUUGCUUUCUAGCGUGAGUACUUAUGUUGAUAGAAUGUUGUUUUAAGAAUCAAUUCGAGAUUGCUUGUGGGAAGGGGAAUCUGUUAUGGGUUCUGGAAUCUGGUAUGUUCUGGGUUUUUAAGUUCUUAGGUUCUAGAAUUUCGGUUCUCAAUUUGAAUUUGGACUAUAUAUAUAUAUAUUUGUAAAUUGGCACUACUAGUAUACCAGUAUAUGUAUUUGUACACUAGUAUAGCAGUUCUGCAACUUUUGUUGGCAUGUGUUCGUAAUGCUAGCUCUCAACAUCCAAACAUAUUAGCCCAAAAAUUACUUGUCUUCUCAUAAUACUUUUAUUUUCCAUGCUACUUCUGCUCGUAGAGGUUCUACUCCAAAUAUUAGAGCUUGGCUUAAAUUGGUGAUUGCUUCUUGGCUUAUUUGGAUUUGAAUAAGCUAGGACUCUGAGUGUGCAGCAUUCUUACAAACCAAAAUAAUCUGAUACUGUAGUUGAAUGCUCAUAUACCCAUCCAAAAUUCCAAAAAACAAGAAAAGAAAAGGGAAUUGGACUCAUGGACCCAUUUGGAACCGGCCCGUUUCAACCACCAUACCAUUCAUUUUUUAGGUUUGCCAUAAAUAAUCAUCUCUACAAAAUAUUACCCAAAAUCAUUUGACAGUUGGAUUAAAUGGUAGUCAUAGUAGCCUUUCUUUGAAAAUCCUGUAUCCGUCCACUUCUUUCACUACAAUUGGAUGUCUUAAUAAUUUUGGAUUUGUCUAUUUUUUGCAAGGAUGAUUUAUGAAUGAUGUACUAAAUUAUAGACGAGCCUUCAUAGCAUGCCUUAUUUCCUUAAGGAAGCAAGCCUGUGACAUUCUCUACCUUCCCCGGGAAACUCACUGGUAGAAUGCAAAGUGCCAAAAUCAGCCAUCCUUGCCUAGGAAACAAGCAGAAGCUCAAGCUUGUAUCUCAAUCUAACAAGAUUUUACUCAACAAAUUCCCACACAUACAAAGUAAAUACCAAUGUCAUUCCAAGAUCAAAUAUCCCAAACAUCAUGCCAAGUUCAAUAUUACAGUUGAAAGCUUUUGCAAACAGAGAAAUAAAGUAAGACAAAACGCAAAAGGCCCCAUGCCCAUUGUUUGAGGGAGUAACUAGCCCUUCAGAAGGAAAAAUGCAACAAAGGUAAAAUAAAACAAGGAGAACAGGUUCUUCGUCAAUCACGCUGCUAUUUCACUGCUACAACAUCAUCAGGAUCAUGCUUUGCCAAGAAAAGGAAAGUGAAGGUCAAGUAAAGAAAACAGCCAAGUGACAUGCAUUGCUUGGGAAAAGCAAAAGACUAACCUCAGUGCGCUACCUUUCCAAAUUAACGUUGGAAGCAUCAGCCUGCAUUUGAUUCGCCGCAAGCUGAAGGUAGUUCGCUAUCUCCUUUGAACUCCCAUGGCAUAUCUUCUUCAACUUGGACCUCUCAUGCUCCAACUCUUUAUGCUUGAGCUCAAAGGCACGCUUUAUCUCUCUUACUUUGGAAGUUUUCCCCAGAAUGUCUUUAUCCUUCUCGAGGUGGUGCCCAAACAUCGUGUCACGGAGCUUCUCCAAUCUCUUGGCCAAUGAGUUUAUAGGCAUGCCCAGGGUUAUCAGAUAACUAAUCAUGUCACACCAGUACAGUGGCUUAUGUUCUGUAAACUUCGAGCAGGGCACGCACUCUAUGCCCAACAAUAGGACCUCUAGCUCCUUAAGCACUAUGUUGUGCAAAUAGGGUGACAAGUUCUUUAAGUUUCUAUCGGCAUCCCCUGCCUUCUCAAAGAACAUGCUUGGAAGUCAAGCAACAUCGUGCGAACCUUCACCCUUAAAGUCAGUGUGAAAGAUGAAGGCCUCGCCCUGAGAAAGCAAUUCUUCAAUCGAGUUUAGCACCUUUGCAUUAGUCUUGAACUCAUUCAUCCUUGAGAACACCAAACGCCUCGUGCCAUGGUGCCCACUCCUCGAUCGAAGCCUGCUCUUCCAAUGAACAAGAGGAAGCAUAAUAGUUGAAGCCUAGACAUUAGAAAGAACAACAUUGGGGGCUUGAAGACUUAUAGAAGCCACCGGAAUACCAGUGUUAGCCAGAGAGACAUAUGUCCUAACACUCUUUGCAUGCAAGAAUAAAUGAAUUACCACAUUUGGACCAUCGACAUUCACCUGUGAGGAAAGCACAAAGUGUGCAUCAUGAAAUGAUAUAUCAGCAAGCAUAAGCAUGAAAUAUCAGAAGCCACUGAACCUAUCCAAGGUAAACAUGUAACACAAAGAAAGACAUGUCAAUGCUCAACAAGGAUUAAUCACCUCAUACGUGCAUGAAUGAAUCCAUGCAAGCAAGAGAGAAUGGGCAAGCAGUUGAAAAAAUCCACACAAAGAUGUCCAUGAGGGAAAAGAAAUACCUCUACAUUCAUUGAAGCCGUAACACUCGCCACAAUGGGAGAAUACGUGAUGCGAAAAUUAUCUUAACGCACAAAUUUAACCAUCUUUUGACAAUUGUAGUACAAGUAUAAGUAGGGAUCGUUUUGGACCGGGGAUUAGGAGGGCUUGCUAAUGACCUCUAAACUGACUCAAAAACAUAAAACUAAACUUAAAAACACUUAACAAGACUCACAAGACUCAAAGCAAACUUAAAAUACUCAAAACAGCUUAAAACAACCAAAUAAAUUUAAACUAGACACUAGGAAUGACUUUGGACGAAAAUUGACUUUUACUUGAACCAAAACACUUAAAAACACAAACUAAAACAGAUUUGAAACACUUUGAAACAAGAAACUAAAAGGGGGGUUUUGAUUUGGAUGAAGUUGAAACAAACAAACAAGUAUGAAAAAUUAGACAGCUUGUAAAAGAAAUUUGAGAAAUAAGAUGAUGGAUGGGAUAGCUAGAGGCUUUUUUCUCCACAACAUGACAUGUAUGCAAAUAAUUCGAUUACCAGUUACUUACUUACUACAUUUCAUUGAAUUAUGAAUGACAAUGCUCCAAAUUAACCGUGACAUCACUAGUUAACUCUCAGAUUUUCCUUGUUUUAUUGGAUUGGAUGACAUCAUUCGACAACCCAAAACAUUCUUCAAAAGUUCCCUACAUGACAUCAUAAUAGAGAUACAAUCAAAUAUCAUUACGUUUAAUGAGAAUCAUAAGCAUUGACAAAGCACUUACAACUAUGACAUCAUGUCGCUUAUGCUAGGAAUUGAACUUAACGCGAUCGUUUAUAAGUGACCUUCACUACAUGUGAAUAUAAGUUUGUAACGAUUAUGUGAAACUUCCUUAUAUUCUAGCAACAGAUUUAUGCAUGCCAAUUACGUGUCGACCCUUAAGUAACAAAUACAAAUAAGUUAUCAAUCAAAUAGUUAAGCCAAUUGCAUUCAUGAUUCAAGAGUUCAUAACUGGAAUUUAUCAAAUUAUAUUGCACACAUAAUCAUAGCUUUGAAAUCACCCCUAGCCAAGAGGAGUUUAGCCACUCAUAUUUACAACAAAACGAAAGGAAAUGAAUUUAAACAUUAGAAACAAAAGAAAGAAAACACCUAAACGCUUCAACAAUCCAAGUUAGACAGCAAGCACGUCCAAGCACUUUCCUUCCCUUCCUUUGCUACGGCACAAGGUGUUGGUGAGUGUUUGAAGGUUUGUUUAUAUGGAGGAUGGAUGUAAAGAUGAAUGGAUGUGUUUGGAUGAAGGUUGUAUUGAAAUGAGGAUGAAUGAUCAAGCAAAAACUGAACUAAAUUUAUGUUACACACACUUCCUUUUAUAGAGGAAGUGCAUGGCAAUGGAGGGGAACAUGGAGUGGUGUAGCAAUUGAGUGCAAUGAUGCAUGAAAUCUGAAAUGAUGGAGGGAACAAGGAAUGGUGUAGCAAUUGAGUGCAAUGAUUCAAUGUAAUGAUGCAUGAAAUUUGAAAUAAUGAAGGGGACAAGGGUGAUGAUGCACGGCAUGGGUGGAAAUUGGAGUGAUUUAUGGCAGAAAAUAGGAAAGGGAUGGCUCCCUUGCACGGCAAGGAAGAGAAAUGGUGAAGGAUGAUAUAGCUUGGACUUUUAAGGCAGGUUUAGGACUUGUAGAAUAUGUAAUGAAAUGUCCCAAAGUAUUUAGAAACCCUUCGUGUGACUGAAUCUUUGGUAAUUUAGAUUAGAAAAGGUAAAGACAAGAUAAGACAAGUUUGACUAGUCUUUCCUCUUUCUUGAUGGUUUCCUUGUCUUCCUUGGCCCUCUAUUUAUUUUCUUCCUCUCCUUGGCACAUUCCUAGCUUCUUUAGAUCUUUAAUUUCGUCCAACCACUUUGCUCCAUGCAUGUGCUAUCCAUUCCAAGCCCAAAACUGCUCCAAAAUGCACCAAAAUGCACCUUAUUGCAUACUUUGUCCUUAGAACCUGAAAUUGCACGAAAAUGACUUUAAACACUAAAACAACUAAGGAAUAACAACAUAAAUGCAUGAGAACAAGCUAACUCAGUCGAAUAAAUAUGCUCCUAUCAAAUUUCCCCACACUUAGUUUUUGCUAGUCCUCGAGCAAAACAAAAGAAACAAAACAAAACAACACAAACAAAACAAACAAAACAAACAAAACACAACCUAGACCUUCCAACAUUGCCUCAGGGAUUUUUAAUGGAACAUGACAUGUUAAAAAUCAUCAUUCCCACAGAUUUUGGUCAUCUUUACACUUGAGCACAUACUUAAUCACAGUCACCUCUUACUAGUUCACAAUUAACCAAUUAAAACGAUGUUUUCAAUGUAGUAACAUGCCUUAGAGAAUUUGCUCAAUUCCUUACAAGAUACUCUCUAUUUUCACACACAUUUUCUGACUACACACCCUACACUAGUAUAUGUGAGAAGAUUGAUGUAAACACGAAAGACUAGGACUCACAUAUGUUAUAACAAAGAAAGCAAUUUUCUAGAGUUAUUAAGCAUGUUUAGAUAUGAUCUCAUGAAUGGAAUGUUACUACUUAGAAGCGAGAACCAGUGACACCAUAUGCUCAUACCAAUUUCGAACUCCACAAAUUGAAACACACAACACUCAAGAUUGAAGUUAAGGGUUGUAACAGGGCUUGGGGGUAAUGGCUAAUAAAGAAAGGAUAGGAAUAACAAACGUUCUUAAAGCGAUAGCAAGCAAAGCAACGAAAUAGACACUUGGAAUUCACUUUAGAAUGCAGAAUCAACUUUUAAAUACAAAUGGAAGAUUCAUGCAACAUUUAGGGCCGAAUUCAAUGUUUUGGACCCUUUUUUGACAAACUUUUUUCUUUUCACUCUAUUUUUUUCUUUUCUACCCGUGCCUUAUUAAGGACUUUGGCACACACACACACACAAGAAUCACUUCCCCCACACUUGCUUUCUGGAAUACAUUGAUAAAAAAGGAGUUCAUUUUAAGUCAUGCUUUACUAUGCUUCAAGAACAAGGGUAUGGAUGGUCCUAAAACUAGGCUAGGUAAGGAUAGUGUGGAUUAACAAAGAACAUAGGCUUAACAAGGCUCAACGGGAUUAAACUUAAACACAUAAUGAAAUAGGAGCACGGCAAUUUGACUUUGGUGGUUACUACACAACUUCAUCUUGAAUAUGUGUUAUGCAAAUCAAUAGCAUGCUUUGAAUGAAAUAAGCAUGAGUUCUAACAUUUGGAACUAAAUGAUGAAACGCCUUCUAAGUAGCAACCAAGCAAAGAAUAAUGAGAUCAUGCAACGACUUUAGAAAACAAUGAUGCACAAAUUAUUAACUCUCCAAAUAAACGUUUAGGCUCAAGUCUCACAAGGUUAUAGCAUUCAUUUGAGUUCCUUCCUUCAAGCAUGUUACAAAAAUUGAUUUUUCCUUUAUGAUUGCAUGUGAAUUCAUAAAUUAUAACCACAACCAAGCAUAAACCAAAGAGUAAAUCAAAUUUUCAUCCAUGUUUAUAACUCUCUUUAACAGUCAUGUAAUUAAAAACCAAAUUCUCAUCAUUGUGUUGGAAGGUACCCUAAGACACAAAUAAACACACAAAAACAACUCUUUUUGGGUUUUCAAAACAAUUUUUCAAAUUUUUAUGAGAUUUUCGGAUUUUUAUGUCAAAACAUACUAAAACACUCCAAAAUAGCUUAAAAAUACUUACAAAUAGCAAGGAACAACACUAGAAGUAAUGGGUGAUAAACUCCUACGAAUUUUAUGCAAAACAACUUGGUUACCUCCACACUUAAAUCAAACAUUGUCCCCAAUGUUUCAAGCAUAAACUCAAACAAAAACAAGUAAACAAACAAACAACAAAUAAACAUGACAAGUAUGGCAAAGUAAAAACCGGACAGAGUAGAGUUUAAGAACGUAAAUCUGGUUUUGGAGAUAGAUGAUCUUGUUGACUUUCCACAGCUUUGAUCUCGAAUUGGUUUGGAAUUCUGAGCGAGGAAUAUGAGAGUUCCUUGGUUUCAAAUUGAUGCGAAAAUUAACUUAACACACAAAUUAAACCCUCUUGUUGUCAAUUGUAGUAAUAAUGCAAGUAGGGAUCGUUCUAAACCGGGGGAUUAGGAGGGCUUGCUAAAACCUCUAAACUAACUCAAAAACAUAAAAACAAAGUAAAAAACGUUUGAAUAGAAUUAAAGAACUCAAAACAGGUUCACAAGACUCAAAAUAACUUAAAGACACUCAAAACUGCCUAAAAACACAAACUAGGCAGUUUCUGACUCUAACACAACUUUGGACGAAAUUUGGGUUUUGACUUGAUUUAAACACUCUAAAAUGAUCGGAUCAUAUUUAUAUAUAUUUUUACUUCGAAUUCACUCGUCUUUUCUUAGUUAGUUCCUUAUAUUUUUGAGCUAUUUACGUUAUUUUUGUGUUUAUAGGAGUUGUUAUGCAAAGAAAAUAAAAAUAGCACAAAUGAGUUUUAAAUAAUAAAUUCGUCGAAAAUUGCUUUAGUCGUUCUCAUUCUGUCAUGGAUUAUUGGUAGAAUUAUGUCACGGCAUAAACAAAAGAAAUGGGGAGAGUCGGUCAAAGAGGGAGCAAGAGAGCAUCAUGAUUUAUAUUUUUUUUACCUCGUUGACUCCCAUAUUCUUCACUUCUGAAAACAACAGGAAGCUGCUUUGCAGCUGGAAAGGAAGGAUCCAAGACGCAAAGGCAGGGACCAGAAACGAAAAGAAUAAUAGAAUAAAGGAUAAUUGGGGAAGGACGUGAGAAGAAAGGGAAGGCAGCGAGGCUGCCAGAAAAGAAAGGCAGAAAAGAAGAAUCCAAGGGAGACACGGGCCCUUGGCAGGGGAAAAGAAGAGAAGCAGGAAACGUGAGACACGGGGGUAGCGUGAAAAGAGGAAAAGAAUGAAAUAAGAAGACUGACACGGGUAGAGAAAGGAAGGGGGUCUUGGGAGGGGGUCUUGGGAGGGGAGAAGGGAGCUGCCCUUUGGGCAGCUCGCAGAGACGCAGGACGGGGAGAUAGGAAAGAAAUAGAAAAAAAUCAGGAGGAAAGCUGCCUUUGGCAGCUUGGGAAGGUCAGGAGGUCAGAGAGGAGGGAAACACGGGGGCAGUUUGAGAAUCAGCGUGGGAAAGCAGGAGGGCUGCCCUUGGGCAGCGUGGGCAAUAGGGAGAGGCGGACUGACUGAGAGCUUGGGGAAGACGCUACCCUUUGGCAGCGUGAAGGAUAGAAGCUGCCUUCGGGAGUUUGAGAACCAGCGUGGACAGAAGCAGCAAGCUUCUUCUUUUUCGGUUUAAUCUUUCCAAACUUCUAUUUUAUUUUUGUUUUAAUAAUGUGUAAUUAAUUUUAUUUUGGCUAGAGGUUAAUUCGAAACCAUGAAUAUAUUUGUAAUAUGAAUUGAUUACCUUCGGUUGUGAUUUCAUAAGUUGUGAUUUCAAUUUACUUAUCCGUUCGUAUAAAAACUGAUUUGUGUAUGUUGGUUGAGAGUGCACGCUUAAUUUACAUGCAUGAAUUUGAUGCUAGAAUAUAAGUGAAUUUCACCUAAUCGUUAUGAACUUAUUUUCACAAGUAGUAAAGGUUGCUAGUCACAAUCACGUUAAGUAAAUUCUUGGCAAGAGUAUCAUGCUUUUCAUAGUUACGAAUGCCUCGUCAAUGCUUAUAGUUUUCACAAAGUUUAAUGAUCUUUGAUUGUAUCGCUAUUGUGCUUUUCACGUAGGGGACUUUUGAAGAAUGUUUUGAAUUGUUGUAUGCGUUUUUCCGUCCAAUUCAAUAACUUAAGGAAAACUUGAAGAUUAAAAAAGUGCUGUUCACGGUUAAUUUGGGGCGUUGAGAUUUACAAUUUAUUGAAAGAACAACUGAAAAUCAAUUUAGGUUGCUUAUGUGUCAUGUGUGGAGAAGAACCCUCUAGCUAGUCCGUCAUUUAUCAUUUUACCUUAAUUUUAUGUUUUUGUCAAUUCUGUAAUUUAAUUAAGUUUAAUUUACUUUUCAUCAAAACCAAACACCCAUCCAUUAUUAAAUUAUAUUAUUUAGUUAGUUUUCUUUAUUGUUAGUCUUUUAAUUCAAUUUCCGUCCAUUUCAGUUCCUAGUGUCUAAUUUGAUUGUUUUCGUUAUUUUGAGUCAUUCUAAGUGUGUUUCGAGUUAUUAGAGUUUUUAGCCUAGUUUUGUGUCCUUGAAUCUUGUUUAAUAUUUUUAAAUUAAUUUAGAAUAGAUUAGCAAUCCCUCCUAAUCCCCGGCCUAGAACGAUACCCUACUUACAUCUAUACUACAAUUGUCAAAAAGAGGGUUUAAUUUGUGUGUCAAGUAAUUUUACACAUCAUAAAACACAAACAAAACAGAUUUUAAACACUUUGAAACAAGAAAGUAAAAGGGGGAUUUUAGUUUUGAUGAAUUUGAAAUAAACAAACAAGUUAUAAAACUAGGUAGAUUGUAAAACGAAUUUAAGAAAUAAGAUGAUGGAUGGAUUAGUUAGAGGUCCAUUCUUCACACAUGACACACUUGUAUAUGAAUUGAUUUCCAAUUGCUUUUCAAUAAACUAUGAUGCUCAACACCCCAGAUUAAUUAGGUACGCUUAAAUUAAUCCUCAGAUUUUCCUAAUUUCAUUGAAUUGGAUGAUUGCAUACAACAACCCAAAGCAUUCCCCACAAGUUCCCUACAUGAAUUGCAUAAUAGAGAUACAAGCAAGAAUCAUUAAGUUCUAUAAAAAUCAUAAGCAUUGACGAAACACUUGUAACUAUGAAUUGCAUGAAACUUAUGCCAAGAAUUCAAUUAACGCGAUUGUGAUAAACAACCUUCACUACUCAUGAAUAUAAACUUGUAACGAUUAGGUGAAACUCAUUUAUAUUCUAGCAUCUAAUUCAUGCAUGAAAACUAAGUAUGCAUCCUUAAUAAACAUACAAGAAUCAGUUAUGAAUAAAAUAGAUAAUUGAAUUGCAAUCACAACUUAUCAAAUCACAAUUGGAAGAAAUCAAUUAAAUCUCAAGCAUAUUCAUGGCUUCAAACUUCCCCCUAACUAAAUAGGGGUUUAGCCACUCAUACUUACAAAGCAAAGAUAAACAAAUUUAAACAUUGAAAACAAAAGAAAGAAAACACCUAAAAACGCUCCAACAAUCUGAUUUGAAUGGCAAGCACGUCCAAGGGUCCUCCUUCUUCUCUUUGUAGCGGCACAAGGUGUGGUUUGAUGGAUGAGUGGUAAAUUAUGGUGGUGGAUGGAUAUAGGUGAGUUAUGGUGAAGGGUGGAUGGGUGGAUUGUGUUCUCUUUGGUUUUCUUCCCCCCUUGUUAUGGUGAAGGGUGGAUGUAUUUAUAGGCUAGGGAGAGGACCACCAUCUAAUUAAGGUGGUAGUGAUGAAUGUUGUGGUAAUGAGUGGAUGUAAUGGGUGUAGUGGGUGAAUGUUUGGUAAUGAGUGGAUGUAAUGGGUGUAGUGGAUGAAUCUUUGGUAAUGAGUGGAUGUAAUGGGUGUGGUGGAUGAGUGUGUGAUGUCCAUGUUUCCCUUUACAUUUGCACACACAUGACCUCCAUCAUUUCAACCACAAAUCAACCCAUUUUAUGCCCAUGUGUGUGUGUUUCCUUUGCCCAUGUGUGUGUGUUUUUCCUUUGCAUUUGCACACACAUGUUCUUCAUUAUUUCAGCCAACAAUCCACCCAUUUUCUGCCCAUGUCAAACUGUCCAUGCCUUGCCUUUCUCUUUGUGUGUGUGCUGUCUAUGUUUCUGAACCUUUCAGUGUUACAAUGCCCAUAACUUCUUCUAGAAAAAUGAUAUUAACAAUUCGUAAAUUGCUCCAGAAAGUAGACAUCCGUAGCUUUCCAUGCAUAUAUAGCUCAUUUUCUCAUUCAUUCUGAGCUGUUCGUAACAUGCUUUCAAAGUCAGCUAAUCUGCACAGGCAGUUUUGACGAAUUUGUUACUUAAUAAUUCACUUGUGCUACUUUUCUUUUCUUUGCUUGAUAAAUCACACAAAACACAAAAACAUAGUAAAUAGCUCAAAAAUAUAAGGAACUAACUAAGAAAAGACAAGUGAAUUUUAUGUAAAAUAUAUAUAAAUAUGAGCUUAUCACAAAUCAGACUCCUUCUGCUGGGUUGAUUUGAUUGUGCAAUCUGCAUUCUUCUCUGCUUGUUUCUUCUGCACGACAGGCAGGCACGAGGUAGAGGUGUUGGUCUGUUUCUUUGUUCAAUCUGUCCAAGUGCCGACCAUUUGCUUUCUUUCUCCUUAUCCCUAGCUGAGGAUGAAUUGGCACAUUGUCUCCACAUGCUUCGAGGUAUCAUUUUCACUUCCCUUAUCUGUUCCCCAGGCAGAUGUGGUAGCUUGAGGAAGCAUAAGAUGUUGAAAAUAAGUACUCGAGAGCAAGGCUAGGUAAGCAAUCAGGAAGGGGUUCCAGGCAGUCGGUUCCAGAUCGGAAGAUUGAUACCAAGUGCUGGCUGAUUGCUCUCUUUCUCCUUAUCCCGCAGGUGAAAAACAAUGACAAUGAGAAAGACAGGGAGAAAGCAUGAUAUGAGAUACUCUUGCUUUCAACCUUCAUGAUAUGAAAUACUUUUGCUUUUGAUGGGAUGUUUGCAGAGGUAUCCCAGGGAAUAAGGAACACUGAGUGACUCGAGAGGCUUUGUUAGGAAGGCAUUCUCGGAGAUGAAAAGGGUUAUGUAUGUCUGCCUUGCAAUGGAGGGUAAAGGUCGACAUUUAUAUGAAUUAAUAACCGGUACUAUUAUUUCACUCUUGUCGGCAACCGUUGGAUGAUUGAACAGUAAACUUUACGUGCUUUCUACGUCACCAGAAAUCUUCGACAGAUUGCCCGUAAUUUCCGCAAGGCUGAGUGUGCAUGUGACAGGUGCUGACACGUCUGGAAAAGCAUGUGCCUCUUCGAUAUCUGAAAUCGGCGCUUCGACAAAUUGUCCGUGAUUUCCGCAAGGCUGAGUGUGCAUGUGAUAGAUGCUAACACGUUUGGAAAAGCAAAUGCCUUUCCUAUUUCUGAGCUUGCCUCUUCGAUUUUUUAGCUCUGUCGAGUGCAGAGGUUGCAUGUGACAAGUACGGACAAAUCUGGAAAAGAGGAUGGCCAGUGGUUUCUGAGCAAGCCCAGCUUUUGAGAAAGCUAGCACCUCUUCGAUUUUUUAAUUAGCCUCUUCGAUUUCUGAGUUCGCCUCUUCGAUCUCUGAAAUCCCGUUGAGUGCUGAUUUUUAUAGAGGCACGCAGUUCGUUUCAAAUCACACUUGAAUUUCCACCUGUAGAAAUUCCCUUCAUUGCACUUCUAAGAUCUCGAUUUGUCCGAUCUUUUCUUUCUUCAACACCUUUGAAAAUGUCUAGCCCCUCCGACCGUCGGUUUGACUUGAACCUUUGUGAAGAGGCAUUCAUGCCUUCUUCAGACAACAUAUGGCGCCCAUCCUUCAUAUCCCAUACUGGUCCUCUUACCGUUGGGGAUUCGGUAAUGAAGAAUGAUAUAACCGUUGCGGUGGUGGCCUGGAACCUUGUCACUCCCAAAGAUAAUAGACUGCUUUCUAAACGGUUUGAUGAGUUAGCUGUUAAGGAUUCUCUGGCUCUCAGUGUGCAGUGUGCAGGUUCUGUUAGGGGUGGGCACUUAGAACUGAAAAUCGAAACCGAAACACGAAUCGAAUCAAACCGCACCAAACGGUUUGGUUUUGCGGUUUUGAAACGGUUUCGGUUUCAAAACCGAACCGCGGCACACAAAACGGUUUGGUUUCAGUUUUGGGUUUUCAAAACCGCACCAUAUAAUAAAUAAAUGUUAUAUAACUUAUAUUUUAAACUUUCAACUAGGUUAUAUCUUAUAGGUUUGUAUUAUGGCAAACUUAACCUUUCAAUUGGGUUGUAAAGUAUUGUGAUUGGUGAUCAAGUUCAAUUUUAGUAGAUGUCAUGCAUAAGGAUUUAAAGUUUAAAUCCUUUGAUGCAUUGGAUGUUGUCUCAAUUUUAGUAGUUGUCAUUUGUUGCAGUUUUGGUACAAGUUUGGUACAAGUUAGCUGCACUUUUGGUGCAGAUUUUUUGUUCUGUUUUGUGCAAUUUUUGGGUGCAAUUUUGGGGCUUUUUUGGUGCUGUUUUGGGGCUGUUUUUUAUGCAGUUUUGCUGCAUUAUUUUUUGGUGCAAUUUUGUGCAGUUUUGGUGCAGUUUUGUGCAGUUUUUGCUGCUGUUUUUUAUGCAGUUUUGCUGCAAUUUUACUGCAUAUUCAUUAUUUAAUAUACGAGGAAAAUAAAACCGUCUUAUGCAUAAAUAGGUGUAUAUUUUAAAUUGUACAUUUUUUUCUCAAAAACCAAACCGAAACCGUUUGAAACCGCACCGCACCGAACCGAACGGUUUGGUUUCAUUUCGGUUUUGGCUUCAAAACCGCACCGCACCGCACCGCAAAAUGUUUCGGUUUCGGUUGUGGUUUCAUUCGAAACUGCACCAAACCGCACCGCGCCCACCCCUAGGUUCUGUGUCUAAUAUGGUCCAACGUCUAUUUGCUCGAACCCGUCAAGUUGAAUCAUUGGCGGCUGAAGUGAUGAGUCUCAAACAGGAGAUUAGAAGGCUCAAGCAUGAGAAUAAACAGUUGCACAGGCUUGCACAUAACUAUGCUACAAACACGAAGAGGAAGAUUGACCAGAUGCAGGAAUCUGAUGGUCAGAUUUUACUUGAUCAUCAGAGGUUUGUGGGUUUGUUCCAACAGCAUUUGCCAUCGUCUUCUGGGGCUGUACCGCAUAAUGAAGCUCUUAAUGAUCAAUCUCCGAUACCUCCUCCUUCUGGGGCUCCGCCGACUGCUGAGGAUCCGCCGACUACUGAGACUUCUCCUAAGCAGCCUUUGUGAAGGCUCCCUCUUGUAUUUUUCUGUCUCCUGUUUAUUUUCAACGAAUUUUAAUGUAAAAAAAACUUGCAUAUCUGUCAAUGUUUCAAAAAUAAACCUACAACAAAAACAAUUAAACAAGCAACAAAUAAAAAUGAUAAUCAUGGCAAAAUAAAAAUGCAGAAAAUGGAAGGUUUUUAGAAAUGUAAAACUGAUUGUGGAGCGAUUCAAAGAUCUUCCUUUUUUUUUAAUACAUGGGUUGCCUCCUAAGAAAUGCUUGCUUUAACGUUUUCUAGCCGGACAAAACUUCAUUCUAAGCUUGGAUAGGGCCUAUAGCAUGGAAUUGAUCAUAGCAUGAAAUUGAUCUUUGAAUAGAAGGUGAUACUUGACAUGAUCCGGCAAUGGUUUAAAUUCUAGUGUAGGUGCCUGAAUCAUUAAAAUCAGCAAGUUAGUAUAAAAUAAAAUCGAAGUUGGAGAAGAUGGCUUACUUGCUUGCUCCGACACAAACUCAAUUACGAACACCACAUCUUUGAAGGUUGCAGGGAUAUGGGACUUGGCCAGAUUUGGUGUUUUGAAAGUUAUGACUUGUCCCGUGUCAUAAAAUCAAACUUCUUUGGGAUUUUUCAUCUCAUGUGUAUCUUCUUUGAUGAAUUCUAGACAUUCCCCAUCCACUUCUUGCUCUUGAUUCUUUGGAAAGGUUUUGAAGAAGCAUUUAUCACCCUAUUCUUCCUUGGAUUGCAUGAUCCUGCAAUGAAUAAGAACAUUUGGUGAAAUGGGGUCAAGACGAAUUGAAUUUAGGCUUACCUUGGUUGUAGUGGACGGCAUAGAGGGCAUAUGGGGCUGCGGCAAUGGUGGUUCUUUCCUUGCCAUGGCCUUGUUAUUCUCCUCUUCUUCGAGCAGCAGCUAUUCAUCCAUGUUUUGGCUUGGUUUGGAUGUCUUGAGUUCACCUCUAACCUCCUUAGCACUUCCCAAAGUGAUAGCAUUAUGGAUUUCAAAAUCUUCCUUCAAAUUUUCAAUAGUUGAGUUAGAGAGUUCACUUUGCUCUUGAAUUUGUGCCGUGAACUCCAUAAUCUCUCCAAGUUGAUUUUUCAAUUCACUCAUCUCCUUAGCUUGAUUGAGCAUUGUUUCAUUUUGACUUUGCCACCCCUGUACCAAAGAGGUUAGUAAUCGAAAAUUUUAAUCACUAUCCGUGGAUAUACUUGAAUUUGAUUGGAAUUGUUGUAAGGGAAGCUGUGAUGGCUGCAUAGGUGUUAAAUAAAACUCCUCAGAUUGCUGCCAAUAUCCAUCUUGUUGAGCCUCCUUGGCUUGAUUUUGUGAGCCCUACACCAAAGAAUUUAUUUCAUAAAAAAUUCGAUCAUAAUCUGUUAACGAACCGGAGUUUGAUUGAGCAUAUUGUAUAUGAGGUUGUGAUGGCUGCAUAGGUCUUGAAUAGAACUCCUCUUCUUGCUACCAAUAUCCAUCUUGUUGGAAUUGUUAAGGUUCUAUGUAAUCUGAAUAAUCUCUCCAAUCCGAAUUGUAAGUGUUGGAAAACAUGUUUUCCCAUGAUUGGCUAUGACCUUGAUAACCCUAAGCAUCUUCAUUCGCAGCGAAUUGAGAAUAUUACUGAGUUGGAUAUCCUUGCCCAUAGGACACACCACAUGUAAGGACACUUUGCAUUGUGGUCCUUUUGGCAUAUUGUGACAAUUGAGAAGUAAGUUCCGCCAAUUGAGCUUGAAUGGUAGCAAAAUCCAUGUCUUACUUCUCUAGUACCUGAAAUCGAGGAAACAAAACUAAAUCAAAUAUCAAAAGUAAAACAAAAGACACGAAAAAGAAACGGGGGAUUAGCAAAGUUGCUAAUCCCCAGCAAAGGCGCCAAAAACUUGAUGCGAAAAUUAUCUUAACACACAAAUUUAACCCUCUUUUGAAAAUUGUAGUACAAGUAUAAGUAGGGAUCGUUCUGAACCAGGAAUUAGAAGGGCUUGCUAAUGACCUCUAAACUGACUCAAAAACAUAAAACUAAACUUAAAAACACUUAACAAGACUCACAAGACUCAAAGCAAACUUAAAAUACUCAAAACAACUUAAAACAACCAAACAAACUUAAACUAGACACUAUGAAUGAUUUUGGACGAAAAUUGACUUUUACUUGAAUCAAAACACUUAAAAACACAAACUAAAACAGAUUUGAAACACUUUGAAACAAGAAACUAAAAGGGGGGGUUUUGAUUUGGAUGAAGUUGAAACAAACAAACAAGUAUGAAAAAUUAGACAGCUUGUAAAAUAAAUUUGAGAAAUAAGAUGAUGGAUGGGAUAGCUAGAGGCUUUUUCUCCACACAUGACAUGUAUGCAAAUAAUUCGAUUUCCAGUUACUACUUCAUUGAAUUAUGAAUGACAAUGCUCCAAAUUAACCGUGACAUCACUAAUUAACUCUCAGAUUUUCCUUGUUUUAUUGGAUUUGAUGACAUCAUUCGACAACCCAAAACAUUCUUCAAAAGUUCCCUACAUGACAUCAUAAUAGAGAUACAAUCAAAUAUCAUUACGUUUAAUGAGAAUCAUAAGCAUUGACAAAGCACUUGCAACUAUGACAUCAUGUCGCUUAUGCUAGGAAUUGAACUUAACGCGAUCGUUUAUAAGCGACCUUCACUACAUGUGAAUAUAAGUUUGUAACGAUUAUGUGAAACUUCCUUAUAUUCUAGCAACGGAUUUAUGCAGGCCAAUUACGUGUCGACCCUUAAGUAACAAAUACAAAUAAGUUAUCAAUCAAAUAGUUAAGCCAAUUGCAUUCAUGAUUCAAGAGUUCAUAACUGGAAUUUAUCAAAUUAUAUUGCACACAUAAUCAUGGCUUUGAAAUCACCCCUAGCCAAGAGGAGUUUAGCCAUUCAUAUUUACAACAAAACGAAAGGAAAUGAAUUUAAACAUUAGAAACAAAAGAAAGAAAACACAUAAACGUUCCAACAAUCCAAGUUGGACAGCAAGCACGUCCAAGCACUUUCCUUUCCUUCCUUUGCUACGGCACAAGGUGUUGGUGAGUGUUUGAAGGUUUGUUUAUAUGGAGGAAUGGAUGUAAAGAUGAAUGGAUGUGUUUGGAUGAAGGUUGUAUUGAAAUGAGGAUGAAUGAUCAAGCAAAAACUGAACUAAAUUUAUGUUAUACACACUUCCUUUUAUAGAGGAAGUGCAUGGCAAUGGAGGGGAACAUGGAGUGGUGUAGCAAUUGAGUGCAAUGAUGCAUGAAAUCUGAAAUGAUGGAGGGAACAAGGAAUGGUGUAGCAAUUAAGUGCAAUGAUUCAAUGUAAUGAUGCAUGAAAUCUGAAAUAAUGAAGGGAACAAGGGUGAUGAUGCACGACAUGGGUGGAAAUUGGAGUGAUUUAUGGCAGAAAAUAGGAAAGGGAGGCUCCCUUGCACGACAAGGAAGAGAAAUGAUGAAGGAUGAUAUGGCUUGGACUUUUAAGGCAGGUUUAGGACUUGUAGAAUAUGUAAUGAAAUGUCCCAAUGUAUUUAGAAACCCUUCGUGUGACUGAAUCUUUGGUAAUUUAGAUUAGAAAAGGUAAAGACAAGAUAAGGCAAGUUUGACUAGUCUUUCCUCUUUCUUGAUGUUUCCUUGUCUUCCUUGGUCCUCUAUUUAUUUUCUUCCUCUCCUUGGCACAUUCCUAGCUUCUUUAGAUCUUUAAUUUCGUCCAACCACUUUGCUCCAUGCAUGUGCUAUCCAUUCCAAGCCCAAAACUGCUCCAAAAUGCACCUUAUUGCAUACUUUGUCCUUAGAACCUGAAAUUGCACGAAAAUGACUUUAAACACUAAAACAACUAAGGAAUAACAACAUAAAUGCAUGAGAACAAGCUAACUCAGUCGCAUAAAUAUGCUCCUAUCAAUACGCUACACCUACUCGGAUAUCAUCAUUGAGGAAAACAUCAACCUCAUCGAAAUUAACACUGCCAAUCACUUUGUUGUCAUUCUUGUCACUUAAUCCUGCAUCACUAUCCCCGCCAACCACACCUUUCCCAGGGGAAGCCUGAGGAUGCCCUCUACUUCUUGGUUCAAAUUUGACAUUUGUAUUGCUACUCUCUUCAGCAUCCAAAUCCUCACUAGAUUCCUUGUUGUCAGCAGCACUGUCGGUACUCCGAUCCUCUUCACUUGAACCAGUAAUAUCAAGAUAUUUAGGAGGCUUAAGAGUACCAGAUGACACAGAUACCUAAGAACUCCUGGUUUUAUAAGCGGGACCAACAUGUGCAGCUUCUUUAUCAGACGCUACAAUGAAGAGACUCGGUUAGAAUACAACCAUUAAAGCAUGGCAAAGCAAGAAAUGAAAUACCUGGGAAAACAAGCAAAUACCCAGGAAAAGCAAAGCUUCUAAAAAUUCAAGCACCACACGCAAAAGCCUAAGGCUUUAGUAUGAGACUAGCUUCCUUACAUCUUUAACAUCAGACUAGCUUCCUUACAUGCCACCACGCAAAAGCCUACGAUGUUAACAUGGGACUAGCUUCCUUACAUGUCCCCAUGCAAAAGCCUACGACUUUAACAAGAAACUACCUUCCCUGCAUGCCAUCACGCAAAUGCCUAAGGCUUUAACAUGGGACUAGCUUCCCUACAAAAGUCGACUGCUUUAACAUGGGACUAGUUUCCCUACAUGCCAUCAAGCAAAAGCCUAAGGCUUAUAAGUCACGUGAAAGCCUAACAGAGCAUGCAUUUAAUGAAGAGAGAGGCUGACUUUCCUUUCUUAGCCCACGUUGAAGAUCAAUGCUUGAAAGCCAGGAGACACGUUACUAUAAGUAACACAUGUGGAAGACUGACCCAGAAAAAUAGCGUCUCGAGAAGAAGGCCCAACACAAGCUUCACGAAGCCAACGACGCCUGUCUGCCUUGCACCAAAACGGAAGUGGCAAAAGAACUAGGGAAAGGAAAGUCAUCCACCAGAACCACUAUUUGAACGGAAAAAUAGUUGCCUAAGAUCGGGAAAUCUAAUUGUGAGGAGUUUUUGGAUGUUAAGAAGGAUAAUUUCAUCAUCAUCUCAAAAAUGUCAUUUCCUUCUAAGUAGUUGCUUCCAAAAGCUGUUUGGGAAUCACUUCUGAAGUCAGAAGCCUAAAUUCUUCAAACGCCUCUCUCUUCAUCUUCAUGAUUUUACCACAUUUCUAGCAUCGACUUAGUGCUAGCUACCAUUGCCGGAAUCAUAUUCUGGCAACACAAUAGCUACAUAUUAGCAAAUUUUCCUUCAAUUUGUGUCAUUUCCUAUUUGUUUCCCCUUAUAUAUAAGAAUUGUCAGACAAUAUAUAAACUAUAAGAACUCACUUUUAAGCUCCCUCCAUCGCAGGUUCGCCAGCUUUCACAAUUUUGUCCAUUUUUCUUAUUUUUAUGUCAUUGCAACGCUAUAUCCAAGUAGCUUCUCCAUAGCUUGUGAAAGAUCUUGAUGAGAGCUAAGAGAACGGACAGACAGAUAGCCAGAAAUAAUAGUGAUCACCUAUGCAGAAACUAAUAGUUGAUAGUGAUAGUCUGGUAUAGCGGUAUUUCUCUCCACAUUCCUGGAAGAUGUUCCGAGUUCAAAAUCUCCCUCAACCUUUGUGUUCGUCGCAGGAAUCUCCUGGCGGACGAGCACACAGCUCCCCUGGGAGAAUGGCGUCGGUUGAGGGUAUCUGUCGUACUUCUGCUUUCUUCUCGGGCUCGCUCGGGCAAGCCUUUGUCGGGCAGAUCUUGGUCGGGCAAGACACACUUCGGGCAAGGCUCGUCGGGCAGUUCUUAUCGGCCAAGGCUGAACUUCUUACAAAAUCUAUCUUUGUGGCUCUGUCAGAGGUUUGAAAGCUUUUAGAGGGGUUGACGGGGGAGAAGAGGAUACAAAAUGAAUCGAUACCACCAUGAACAAGGUAGCAGAGCUAUUACAGGGGUUUGGGAAUGUUUAUCCCGAAUAGGAUGAAGGCUUGUGCUGACUACAGCUUCGUUGAAGGCAAAUCUGGCUUGAGCAGAGUUUUGGCUUUUGUUUGUUUGUUUGAGUGUCCUUAAUUCUGUCUUCUCUUCCUCCUUUUAUAGACGACUUCAGCUUGGGUCCUGUAGCAAUAGCGGUUGCCCGAAUGCGGUUUGGUGAUGACUCACUAGCUUUUUUACAUGAAUGCCACCAAUAAAGUACUUUAUUGGGCUGUGUAGUGACUGAAUAACCUACCCCCUGUGGUCUUUGAGCAGGUAAGCAAGUGGCCUUUGUAACUUGUGCCCAGCCGAAAGCCUCUUUCCUGCCUCCUAAGUUUUCCUCUGGGCUUUGGGUUUGGGCCGACUUUCUCUCUGGCCCAAAGUUCAGAUUUUAUCCCAAACAGUGCCCCCUUCAAUUGAUGUUAAGGUUGGGAUCCCAAGCGCCAACAUUAAUUGAAUAACAGCAUGCGUGCCCUUUGAGCUUCUUGCGACCUUUAAACUGCCUUCUGGUUCUCUAUAAAUUCUGGCUUUGGAAACCCUUUUCAAAUCAUCACCUCUUCUUCAUUUUGGUCUUCACCCUUCAUCCACCUUGAAUCCUUCCGUCUCCUCACUGAGAAAUGGGUUCCUCAGGUUUUGAGUGGAGUUUCCUGAAACUCCCCUUUCGUGAGAAAAAAGAAAGUUUUCACCUGAUGAUUGCUACCUCCAACACCUUUGGUCGAUCACCCUUCUACCUCCAACACCCUUGGUCAGGAGGUCUCCUCUUGAUGACUGAUCUUCCCACAACUUGUGGUGAUAAGUCGGGCUUCAUCAUCAUACAUGGUGAAGAUCUUGUGGGAGGGUCCUCUACCAAGCUCAUGUUGGCCGCACAACCCGAUCACCUGAUUGGGUUCAACCAAGAAGAUAGCGGGAAACCAGUUGAAGACACCAACACUUUCAGAGAGGAUCAAAUGUAAUACAUACGAUUUGGUAUCUUGUAAUCUCAUCAAUUUGUCGACAUGAAAUAAAUAUUUUUAUCUAUUUCUGCAUCUCUGCCUUCUUUAAAUGUUUGGAUGAACAAAAUACCGUAUGUGAAUUUCUAAGGUCCGUCCCAAUCUGCUCCCUCUUCGAUAUAACAAUCCCUAACAUCCCAUAAUGUAGGACAAUAUUUCUUCAAGAAUUUUGCAUUAAUAGGGUGUUUCUGCUCAUUGCCUUCGAGGUCUGCUAGAUAAUAUCCUCCUUUGUUCAAAACCCGACUAAUAAUAAAAGGACCUUCCCAUGUCGGGCUCCAUUUCCCGAAGCCACGCAGCUGAGCGCCUAGCGGGAUGACCGUUUUCCACGCUAAAUCUCCUUCCUUGAAAGACUUUAACUUCACCCUUUUGUUAUAAGCUCGGGCAACAUCAAUCUUUCCUUCUUGAAUCUGGUUCAAGGCUUCAAUUCGGGUUGCAUCCAGAUCUUCAAUACCUUGACACAUGGCUUCGAUAUAUUCUGCACUAUGCAACCCAAAUUGGUUUUGAAUUCUUACGGAACUGACGUUGAUUUCCAUAGGAAGCACUGCAUCUUGCCCGAAAGUCAAGGCAUAAGGAGUCGUGCCUGUCCCCGCUCUUUUAGAAGUCCGGUAUGCCCACAACGUGUUCCCUAGCAUCUUAUGCCACCUUUCUGGACUAUCAAUCACCAUCCUUUUAAUAAUGUUGACCAAGAUCUUGUUGCUAGCCUCUGCUUGCCCAUUUGACUGAGGGUAGUAUGGACUGGAUUGGAUCAUCUUUAUUUUGUACUUGCUUGCAAACUCUUCAACCUCCUUUGAAAUAAAAGAUGGCCCACGAUCCGUUACUAUAGUUUCAGGCACCCCAUACCUGUGCAGGAUCUUGGUCUCAAUAAAAUUCUUGACCACGGCUGAAGUUAUGGAUUUUACUGCCGAUGCUUCUACCCAUUUAGUGAAGUAAUCCGUUGCCACAAUUAUGAAAGUAUGUCCCUUACUAGAGGCCAGAUAAAUCUGCCCGAUGAAGUCCAUUGCCCAUCCUCGGAACGGCCAAGGCUUGACCACUGGAUUGAGAGGUACUGAUGGUACGUGCUGGAGAGGUCCAUGUCUCUGACAUUCUUCACAUCCGCGAGCAUAUGACUUACAAUCUUUUUCCAUGUCGGGCCAGAAAUAACCAUACCUUCUGAGUAGCCAUCUCAUCUUUGUUCCCGCUUGAUGUGCUCCACAUAUUCCCUCAUGUACUUCGGCCAUUACUCUCAUGGAUUCCUCUAGGCCUAAGCAUUUUAAUAGCAACCCAUCUGGGGUCUUUCUCAACAGAUUUUUUGUCCACAAGACAUACUUGGUUGCUUGCUGCCUGUUCUUCUUACUUGUGGGUGAAGAAGGAUCUUUCAGAUACUGAGUAAUAGGUGUCCUCCAAUCUUCCACCUCGGUCUCUAGAACCAUUACAUCCAGACUGAACCUCCGAUCUAAGAUAGAGGGAAGGUUUCUUGUUUGGAUCUCAACAUCAACACCAUACCUCCUUUCUUGCAUUGGCACUCCUGAAGCUAGUUGCGCCAUUUCAUUGGCUGCCAAGUUAGAUCCCCUAGGAAUGUGAUUGACUGAUAUCUCAGACUCCCACAAACUUAGCAGUUGUGUUGCUGCCAUAUAGUACCCUGCUAUAGUGAUAUGUCUGCAUUUGAACUCGCCAUUUAGUUGAUUUAUCACUAACUCUGAAUCACCAAAGAUCUCUACUUCAGUUGCCCCCAAGUCCAUCAGGAUUUCCAGGCCGAUAAUCAAUGCCUCAUACUCCGCCCGAUUAUUGGUAUUUUCUUGAUAAUCAAGUAGGAAGGAAUAGUAAUGAUAAACCCCUUGAGGGUUUAUAAUCACAAUUCCAGCUCCUGCUGCCUUCUGAGUGUAGGAUCCAUCGAAAUAUAGCUUCCAAGGUGUAAUCCAAAGACCUGCUACUCUCCUUAUCUCUUGCUGGAUCCAAUCUUCUUUGCCCGAAACAUCACUUCUUGGUGGGAUCCAUACAUUAGCAACUUCUAAACUUCCCGGGAUAUUGAUUUCCUCGCUUUGAGACUCCUGAUGUUCGGUCAGGAAGUCAGCAAUUGCCUGGCCUUUGACUGCCCUCUGGGGUAUGUACUGAAAACUGAAUUCUGAUAAUGCUAGAAUCCACUUCCCAAUCCUACCUGCUAGCAUAGGUCUUGACAACAUAUACUUUAUCACAUCUGUUUUGGCGAUAAUGUGCACAUGACAAGGUAGCAUGUAAUGCCUUAGCUUGCUGGCAGUAAAAUAUAGAGCCAAACACAGUUUUUCCACCGGAGAAUAUCUUGUUUCUACCUCGGUCAGAAUUCUGCUGAGGUAAUACACAGCCUGCUCUUUUCCUCCUUCAUUAUUCUGAGCUAGUAGACUCCCAAUUGAUCUUUCCGAUGCAGAAAUAUAUAGUUUCAAUGGCUUUCCCCUUUGAGGUGGCACCAGCACUGGUGGGGAAGUUAAGUAAGCCUUGAUGCUAUCAAAUGCCUGCUGGUGGGUUGGCCCCCACUCAAAAUUCUCCCUAUCCUUCAAUCUCAGUAGCGGAGUUAGUGGCUGGAUUUUGCCCGCCAAAUUGGCAAUGAAUCUCCUUAAGAAGUUGAUUUUACCUAGCAAUCUCUGAAGCUGUACUUUGUUGGUAGGUGGAAGUGACUCUAAUAUUGCCCGAGACUUAUUUUUUGUCCACCUCCACACCUCUCUGAUGCACCAAGAAUCCCAAAAAAUUGCCCGCUCUUACUCCAAAAGCGCAUUUCUUUGGAUUCAUCUUCAACUUGUGGAUCCGCAUCCUCAUCAAUGCUUGCUUGAGGUCCACGAGAUGCUGCUCUUCUGUCUUAGAUUUCACCACAAUGUCAUCGAUAUACACCUCCAUGCUUUGGCCAAUUAAAUCAUGAAAAAUGGCAUUCAUUGCCCUUUGAUACGUGGCGCCUGCAUUUUUGAGCCCGAAUGGCAUAACCAGAUAUUCAUAUGCCCCCACAUGACCAGGACAUCUAAAAGCUGUCUUAUGAAUAUCCUCUGGCGCCAUCUUUAUUUGAUUGUAACCGGCAUUUCCAUCCAUAAACGAUAAAACUUUAUGCUUUGCUACAGCAUCUAUGGAUAAGUCAGCCAUGGGCGUGGGAUAUUCAUCCUUUGGUGUGGCGCUAUUAAUAUUCCUAUAAUCAACACAACACCGUACUGCUUUUGUUAUAGCUUUUAAAACGGGUACAAUGUUGGCUAGCCACUCUACAUAUUUGGCUGGUCUAAUAAAGCCAGCUUUCACCAGCCUUUCAAUUUCUUCUUUGACUUUUUCUUCUAUCUCCUUUGACAUCCUUCGUGGUGCCUGCUUGACAGGUUUAUAUCCUUCCUUGAUGGGCAUUCUAUGUUCCACCAAGGCUGGGUCUAAUCCUGGCAUCUCGGUGUAAUGCCAAGCAAAACAAUCUUUGAAUUCUUGCAAAAGAGAGAUAAUCUUGGCCCGAUCCUCAAUCCUUAAUAAACCGCUGAUUUGAAUUGGUCUCGGAUCCUCUUCUGUGCCUAGAUCAAUAACUUCCACUGGAUCCUGGACUUCUGGAGGUGGCUUAUCAGGUUCUGCACACAAAAAUUCAACUAAUUCCGGGUUCUCGGGCAGACCGUCUGGCUCGUCUAUAUCGUAGACGCAUUCGGCCAUUUGAAUGGCCUUAUCUAACUCCUCUGUGCAAGAUUCUUCCUCAUUUUCCUGCUGGCUGGUAGAAACUUUCCCCUGCCACUCCUGCUCUUCUUUAUCCAAGAGCUUUUCUUCCUGUCUUCUUCCCUUUCCAUACACCAACAGUCUUUUAAUCAGGGAUCUGACUGCCAUGACCUGAUCUUUCUUCUUUUGUUCGAUCAUUGAUGGUAUAGAGAGUUUGGUAUAAGACAGGGUCUCUCCCACUCCUCCUUGGUAAGGAGCAUCCCUUGUUCUAGAAGCUUUCGGGCCGUCACCUUGGUAGGGCGACCGUUCUCAUCAGCUCCUAAACAUUUCAAAAUUCCCACGUUGGGAUUGUAGAAAUUUGCUUCUGCAACAUUAGCUGAGGGGAGGAACGGCCGUGAUUCGGCCUCUACCAACUCCCAAAAGCUUGAUCCUUCAGUACUUGCCUCGUGGUAUACAGCCACUUGUUGAUGAAGAGUAGAAGGUAUGGCUAAACUUUGAUGAAUCCAAUCUCUUCCAAGUAGGGCCCCGUAAGUGGAAGUGCAGUCUACUACAAAGAACGCCAACAUUAUUUUCUUGGACCCCAGAUCUACCUCCAAAGGCAAUAUCCCAUGAGUCAUGGUGAUGGCACCUGAAAAGCUCGAGACUGUAAGGUUUGUGGGAAUAAGAUCGUCAGUGCUUCUCCCCAUCCUCUUCAUCUGCUUGGCUGGCAAUAUGUUAACAGCCGCUCCUCCAUCAAUCAAAAUUCUUUUGAAAGGUACACCUUCCAGAUGAGCUGAAACGUAUAUAGGCUUCAGGUGGUUGGCCAACGAAAUACUUGGGCGGCUGAACACCAUUUUAUCUGUGUAAAUCCGUAGGGGACCACCUUUAGGUACUUUUGAUGAUUCAACCUUGCCUGAGUCUUCCUCUGUAACUACCUCCACAUUGACGUGAGCCAUCAUCGGCUCAGUUGUUAAAUAAUCACCUUCCAUGGUAGCGGGCUGGUCAGGCCUGGCGCCAAACAUGGCGGAUAAUACAUACGUCAUGUUGAUGUGGAAGUUGCUAGGUUCGAGCAAGUCCUCAUUCUUGCUCCCAAUGUGAUCCAUGAACUCGUCUAACCAGGCCAUUGCAUCGGCUGGUAGUAAGGGCUCUGGUAUCCCUUCCUGUUGUGGUUGAUUCAUGUCUCCGUACAGCGCUUGCUUUGGAACUUCACCAAACGGAUCCAAAGGCAGAAAGGUUGGUCUCCUCUCAGAUGCAACAGUUUCCUCAUGGGUGGGCCCUGGCCUCCAACCAGGUGUUGGCAUCAUAGUCAAAUCUUCCUGAGCCCUUCUUAAGAUCCUAUACUUGCCAGGAUGUUGGCUUUGUGGCACAUGAUUCCCCAUACCUUCCGUCUUGCCGUUGGCCCUUUCUACUUCCUUCUUACUUCGCCAACGAAGCUGACUACUACUUCCAGAUGUUGCCCUUUAUGGUUUUUGAUUUUUUGAGGCUUCAGAGGUGAUGGGGGUCAUCAGGGAAUUCAUGUAGGCUUUGUGCUGCCUUUGAACCCUUCUGACCAUGGAUGCUCCCAUUGGUCUGGUGGGCUGCCCAUCUUUUCCAACUACGUACCAUUUCCGCCCACGAUAUGCAGGAGUUGCUUUCUUAACAGGAUUAGCUAUCCCAUCAGUUCUUCUGACUUCCUUCCCCUUUUGGCCAUUUUGAAGCUGCUCUGUACUUCUUUGGAGUUUGGCUUCCAUGUCCUCUGCCUUGUCAGAAACUUCAUAGUUUCGAAACUCGUCAGAAACUUCAUAGUUUCGAAAUACUUCUGACAACGCCUUGGGUUGGGAAUCACCUCCUAAACGUUGAAAAACGCUUCGGGAAGUAUUUUUUCUUGUUGCCUGCUUAAGCCUUUCGCGGGCUUCUCUUUUAAUUAACUCGUGAUCAAUAAGGACUCCAGCUGGGGGAAUCUCGAGUUCACAUUCACACUGGCAUUUACUGCACAUAACCAGCCCUUUGAUUAUGGCAGCCUUUGGGUACUCGGAUGGUUUGCCUAUCCCUUCCGUAGGUCGUUUGGCUAGUUUCCCUUCUUCUUCUUCCCUUAUAAUUUUCCCUUUUCCUUUCUCUGCCCAGGUCAUGUUGAGCAUGUUUACCGGGGCUUCAGAAAAGGGCAACACAGGGUUGACUAUGACUACCUCAUCUGGUUGGGUAGUCCUGUGUCUUUUUCCUUUGGGAGGAGCCAAACCUGUCUCAUUUCUAGAGCCUAGGGAGGCUUCAUUCAGUCUCUGUAGCAUUUGAAACAAUGUAUUCUGUAAAUCUUCUGGCAUGUUUAUCUUUAUCUUCAGAUCAGAGAGUCCCACUGGGCGUGCCAAAACUAUGUUCGUCGCAGGAAUCUCCUGGCGGACGAGCACACAGCUCCCCUGGGAGAAUGGCGUCGGUUGAGGGUAUCUGUCAUACUUCUGCUUUCUUCUCGGGCUCGCUCGGGCAAGCCUUUGUCGGGCAGAUCUUGGUCGGGCAAGACACACUUCGGGCAAGGCUCGUCGGGCAGUUCUUAUCGGCCAAGGCUGAACUUCUUACAAAAUCUAUCUUUGUGGCUCUGUUAGAGGUCUGAAAGCUUUUAGAGGGGUUGACGGGGGAGAAGAGGAUACAAAAUGAAUCGAUACCACCAUGAACAAGGUAGCAGAGCUAUUACAGGGGUUUGGGAAGGUUUAUCCCGAAUGGGAUGAAGGCUUGUGCUGACUACAGCUUCGUUGAAGGCAAAUCUGGCUUGAGCAGAGUUUUGGCUUUUGUUUGUUUGUUUGAGUGUCCUUAAUUCUGUCUUCUCUUCCUCCUUUUAUAGACGACUUCAGCUUGGGUCCUGUAGCAAUAGCGGUUGCCCGAAUGCGGUUUGGUGAUGAUUCACUAGCUUUUUUACAUGAAUGCCACCAAUAAAGUACUUUAUUGGGCUGUGUAGUGACUGAAUAACCUACCCCCUGUGGUCUUUGAGCAGGUAAGCAGGUGGCCUUUGUAACUUGUGCCCAGCCGAAAGCUUCUUUCUUGCCUCCUAAGUUUUCCUCUGGGCUUUGGGUUUGGACCGACUUUCUCUCUGGCCCAAAGUUCAGAUUUUAUCCCAAACACUUUGAUAAAGAAUAAAAGUACAUGAAAGCAAAAUAGAAGCACCACUUCCCAGCUAAUGAACCAAAGUUUAUAAUUAUUAUAGAAAUGAGGACAGCAAAUCGAAGGAGCAAGCAUUAUAGACAUAUUUAUAUACAUCAUCGCUAAACUUAUAUAAUCAAAUUUUCUCAAAUAUAUGUACAAAUGGAAGUGGACGCCAAAAAAAUAAAAGGAAUUUUUUUUUCAGCCAUUAAGAAUGAAACCGCGAAAACCGAAAACCAAAAUGUUGUAGGUUUACUGCAGAAGCAGAAGCAUAUUUGGACUACUUAUGAGAUUUACUGCCUUUCCCUAUUAACAAGUUUUUCAUUGUCUUGUAACCCCAGAGCUCUUGUAAUGCAUCCAUGGUAGUUUUUGAUGAUAUAAGCCAGAUGAAACGACGCUUGAAGAACUAGCAUGUUGAAUUGAUGCAUGAUCCUCAGAAGACCGAUCAGGCUCUUGGUUACAGUUGCUCCAGGUUUCAGGCUUGGUAGAAGACCCUCCCACAAGAUCUUCACCAUGUAUGAUGAUGAAGCCCGACUUAUCACCACAAGUUGUGGGAAGAUCAGUAAAAAUUUUACUGAUUUUUAUUCAAACCUCACUCACAGAUGAUGUUAAGAUAUAUCUAAUAUUAAAAUAAAUAAGAAAACCUCCCGCUCCCACUCCCACCCACGUUCUCUCUCUUCCUCUCUCCUUCCCAUUUUAACAAACGAUAUUAUUUACACUAAGAGUGAAGGGGGUGGGCUUAGCCUCACAAUGGGCUAGCAAUAAUGUAGUUCAAAUUCAUCUUUGGCGAGAAUCAAACCUAAGACCUCUCACUUACAAAUGACUGUAGUACUAAGUGGCAUCUCUUUCCCAUUUUAAAAACAAAAAUAAAAAGUGUUCAUACACACAAAGUGUGUAGGCAUAUGUUAGUAUAUUAUAAAGUAUGACUAUACUAGUAAAAGUUUGAAGAUCUUUAUCAUUUGGAUAGGAACACAAUGGUGAAGUUCUAGCCUAGUUUCCACCUAGUGAGGUGGUUUAACACUUCAACACUCAAUGAUUCAAAAUCAUCAUUAGUCCGUAUGAUUCAAAAUCAUCAUUCUCCAUAUUAAUGGACUAUUGUCCUUUAAUAACUAUCUUGUUCCAACAAGAUUACAAACAUUUAAGAGUUGUUCAAGAGAACUCUCAUUUCUUCAUACAAGAAUUUGUAAGUGAAGAAUCAUGGCACAUAAAAUGUCCAUGCUUUUGUGCUUACUUCUCAAGUUUCAUAUUCAUAUAACAAAGAAACAAGCAAUAGUGUUUGUUUUAACUAAGGGUUGUUCAAAGCAACUUUUAUUUCUUCAUACAAUGAUUUGUUAGUGAAGAAUUAUGGCACUUAAAGUGCCCAUGUCUUUGUGCUAGCUUCUUAAGUUGUUUUGUUUUUUAACCAGGGGCGAUCCUGAAAUUUUUUAGGCCCGGGAUGAUGCCAAAAAAUGUUCCUUAACUGUAUAUAAGCAAAAUGAUUUGUUUUUACAGAUAAGACUUCGAUAAAAUUAUCAAACACUUCAAACUCAAUAAUUUAUUCAUAAAAAAACUAAUUUAUUUUGUACUGAGAGAAGGAAACUAAAACCACAAUGUGAAUUCGAGUUCGGCAUGUUGAGAAUCCUGAGAAGGGACUUCAGGUUCCUCCAGGUGCUGCCGCACGUGCCGCCACAAGGUGGUUGCACUGGCAGCCAUGUGCUGCACGGGCCAGAGAGAGUGGCAACUCACGCGCGCCUCACGGGCCUUCAUCGUGAGUUUUCCAGAAUUUUUCGUGUUUUUCCCUCAAUUUUAGGAGCUUAUUUCGAGCUCGAUUCUCCACCAAAAACAACAUAAUUUAUAUGGAAAUGAAGCUUACCACGGGAGGAACAAAUCCAUACCAAGGUUAGGCCGAUUUGUGUUUAGAGUUGAUUAGGAAAUUGGACUGAAUGUGGCCAAAUGGCCACGGAUCCUUGCUGGAAAAAUUGCUGGAUUUCAUCCCAACUUCCAGAGCAAAUUUCUAGUUCGAUUUUUAACCAAACUUAAUGAUUCAAAAGCCAUUUUGAAGUUAGAAGUGUAGGGAACAAAACUAUACCAAAGUGGGGCCAAGUUAACGUCAGUAUUGGCCAGAAAAAUAGUCCAAAGGUGGCUGGUCAGUCAUCGAAAAAUUGGGGAAAAUCCUCCCAGUGCAUGUUAUGCUUAAAAUAUUCCCCCAAACUCAUUUUUAAGGUUAAAACAACCUAUGAUCUUCAAAAUAAGAAGGAUUUGAGGGUCUCAAGGUUCACCAUGGUCAGGAGGGAGGAUGAACAGUGGUAUGACCAUUGCACAGUGCAGAAUCCAUGGCUGGUUUGAGUUCACAGCUUGAAGUCUUAGUUCUUUGUCUAGAAGGAUAAUGAAACUCGUUGAUAUGGCUAGUUAAAACAGUUAUGGUGGUGGUCUUGGCCUCCUGGCCGUCCAAUAUUUACAAAGGGAGAGAAGAGGGUUAGAAAGAUGGAGAGGGCGAGGUUGCCGUGAGGAGUGGUGGCUUGCCUCUCGUCGUGAUGAGUCGUGGUGGAGCCGUGGUGAGUGGUAGCUCACCGGAGUUGGUGAGGCUGACGGUUCACGGGAAGGGGAACGAGAGAGAUAAGGGUACGGGAGAGAUGAAAGAGAAUUGAGAGGGUUAGAGAAAAAUAGGUGAGGUGGCAGCCAAAUGAUGGAUGAGUGAGGUGAGGGAGAUUUGAAAUAAAAAGUGAGAGAUUGUGCCAAGAGAGAGGAAGACACAUGAGUGAUGGGAAAGAGUGGGGUGUGGCCCCACGUGGCACACAGCUCAAGUUCAUCAAUGAAAAUACAGAAAAAUAUAUCAUGUAACGUGUAUUUACCAAAACACCCCUCAUGCUUCGUAGCUCGUAAAAUCUUCAUCAUAACUCCAAAUUUAGUUCUGUUUGCACCUACGUGUUCGUAUCAUUGUGUACUAUACAAAUACGUCAAAAGAAUGAGUCAUACGUCUCUCUAAACAAUGGUCAACGAAAGCAACCUCAUCGUCACUAAAGGCAAUUUCGUCAAUUCACUAUUUUAAAAUUAAUAAAAUCAUAAAAUUUGGGAUGGGUUGUCACACUCAGGGUUUAAAAAUAGAUAGAUAAUAAGUUUUGUUUCCCUUCUAUCUAAACAUUUAUUGUGUUUUUAUACAAAUCGUGAGGUUUUUUUUCUUAUUUACUAACCUUGUCAAUAUGGGACUAAAAAAGAUAAUAAUAUUUUUGAGUCUUUAAUUGAUAUGUAAAAGUAAUGAAUGAGUACUAAAUUAAACUUAAUUUUGGUAAAGACAUACAUACAGUAAUUUCUUGAAGGUUAAUGGUAGAGAUACGAAAUUUUUAUACCAAAUUUUAUAAACCAUAUAAUGUGAUUGUUUUGAAUUCAGGACGUCUUUAUUAUUUUAAAUAACAAAAACCAACAAUUCUAGCUAAGCUUCUUGGUUAUUUAACCAAAUUUUAUAAAUUUAUACUCUUAUGAAAACACAUAUGAAUAUACCACCCUAAUCAUUUUGGUGCCCCCAAUUUUCUUUGGGCCUUGGACGGUCGCCCAGGUCGCACUGCUUUUAGCAAAGGAAUAAGCAUAUAUAGUUGUGUUAUCCUCAUUAUGUUAGACAUAUCAAACAUGUUCUUCCAAUGAUACAUUAUCAAUAGGAAGUUUGUAAGGAUAGGGCUACAUAGGUACAUAUACAAUCCAUUCAAGACUACCUAUGAGAUUGAUGUACCAAGUAUGGAAACUAAAGCCUUCGGCUUUUCUUUGUCAAGUUUUGGGUAGUGUUUUUGCAAAUAUAUCAGUAAACAAUACAUAACAAAUAUAAAUUGAUUUAUUUUAAGCCAUUUAAUCUGGGUUUGUAAAUCAAAUAGCACCACCCACUAUUUUGGCAAAUUUCAUAUCCCUCAAUAGGAAUUUGAGAGUUUUGGAGGAAACUCGUAGUAGCGUAUAGGAGGCUCACUAUUACCAAGCCCACCUCACAAUGAUAUGAUGUUAGUUAGCGUUAAUAAUAAUGAGAGAGUACACUUGCUCAUUUACAUCUUUUGUAAGGACCUAUCUUAUUUAGCCUUUAGAAAAUGUUGCCUCACAAUGAUACGAUAUUGGCUCCAAUGCACUUAGUUAAGUCGUUUCCACCAUGCAAGGUCAUGUAGGGGUUCAAGAACAACCUCACAAUGAUAUGAUGUUGGUUAUUCUCGUUGCCUACCUUCACAAUAUCAUGUAUGCAUAUAGAACUCCUCAUGAGUGUAAGCACAUGCUUUAUACUCCGCAUGAUAGGGUAAAGUCAGGGUAUGAGUCACAAACUAUUGGAGCCUACCAUGGUGGAAGGCCGUGACAGAGUGUUCAAAGCACUCUCACGCUUAUCAACUUAAUAUUGGUUUGGUUGAAGUUUUAGGUCUCAUCACAUAUUAACAAUCAUUUUAAUCAAAUUAAAACUCUUUAGUCAUCACAACUAUUGGUCCAUGUAAUUGAUUUAGUAGCAUAUGAUACUUCCACUAGUUAAGUAAAACGAUUUUUGAAGAAAGAGUACAUGGUACUACUAACAUAAGGUUUGCAUUCUUUGAUUGGACUAUAUAGUUGCCUUAGGGCCUUAGGAUGACUAUGGACCUUCGAUUUGAUCCAACACGAGCCUAGUGUUGAAUCUCAGUCUAGGAAUGGUGGUUGAUUUUAGUUAUGUAUUUAAUCACAUUAAAGCGUGUUUUUCUAUUGGGCAUUGGACUCAAUUACUCCAAUAUGCAUGAAUAUCAAAUAAAACAUAAAUGAGUACUUUAAAGUAAAGAAGAGCUUAUGCUCUUUUACAACAUAUUUGAUCAAAUCAAAAUAUAACCAAAAUCUAAUCUACACAUUCCCAUGGUUCAAACAAAUUUGAGAGGCAGCCAAUCACUUAGCUCAAUUAUCGUAGGCUUAGGUUCAUAUCACCCUUUCUUUAAUUAAUCAAACACUUUAACUAAUUAAACUAGAAUGCAAUAUUGUCAUUUGGUUUUUAUAUGCAUAGAAUUGAUUUAAAUGGAGCUAAAUGAAAUCAUAUAUACUAAAACUUAGUUUUCUCUAUAACACUGUUCAUCACCAGUGUUCAGAUGGAAAUGCCCCUGGUUUUUUCUUUGAUUUGCCAUUUUGUUGCCUAUUUUGCACAGUCAAGUGCCUGCUUUUCUUCACUUUACCUUUCUGUUUGCUUUUGUCUCUUGCAAGCUUUUGCUUCUCUCUGUUUUCAUCUCGCUUUCUUUGUGUUUGAUUAAAAGUUUGAUCCUCUGUUUUUUUUUUUGGGUAAAAAAUUGGGUUACAUCGUUUUAUCUUGAUUUUGCGAUUGUCGGGUAAAAAAUUUCAGGGUAUUGGUCUCUAUUAUCAUCAACAAUCCUGGAGUUGGGAUUGGCUUUCUAGCAAUUUUUUGUCGCUUUAGCGGCAGAGCGGUUUGAGAUUGUUGUCCAAGAAGUUGAAUUCAACUCAAGUAUGUUCUGAAACAGCUGUAUGUAAGUUUGUGUUUUUUAUUUUUGUUGUUUGGAGGAAACCCUAACAAUUUCGUUUUGUGGUGAGUUGUGGUGUUUUGUUCAGAAUUUGUGGGCUAAGGCGUAUUAUGUGUUUCCCUUCCUCCACUGAGAAGUUUGUGAAAUUGCAAGGGUUGGAACGCCACUAUUGGUUUGGGUAUGCUCUUUGUGGUUCCACUUUUGUUUGAUUAUAUUUUCCUUUCUUAUUUGGAUCAAUGGAAUUUUGGGUUUUCUUUUUUAUGUUUAAUUUUCUAUAAUUUUAUUUGGUUCGGUUUAGGGUCGUUAGAAGAAAAACAUUUAUUUUCUAAUCCAUUACAAACCCAGAUGGACCGAGGAUGCAUAGGAGAUUUGGUUCCUUUUUUUUUAAGGGAGUUUUAACGAAAAGUCCACGGUACUGUUCACUUUAACGAAAAACCACAUUUUUACACUAAAAAGUCAAACUUGGUACUAUUCACUUUACCCUUUAUUUUAUCCUUAUCAUUAAAACUCAAAGUUUUCAAGCCAUUUUCAUUAGUUUUUUUUUUUUUUUUUUUUUAACUCACUCGAACCUAGCUGAAGCAGUACAAAGUUCUCAACUUUUCCCCAUCCGAGCUAUUUAGGUAAAAUCUCAGAGCUCCCAAAAUUUGAAUUUUCAAUUCGGAUUUUCAAUUUAUAGAGUUCAUUUCGAUUUGGGUUUGUUUGGAAUCUGCGCUUUCUUUGGCAUUUUUGGUUAUUCCGUCGUCCAUCAUGGCCUCUUUAGAUGAAAUGGCCAUAGGCGUCCAUGGCUGCUGCCAUGUUUGCUUAGUGUGAGAGGCUGAUUUGCUUUUGGGUUUGUGUUUCUCUUGCUAAUUUUGGAUAUGUUAGGACUUUGUUUUGUUGGGUUUGUCGUUCUUUAAAUUUAUGUAAUUAUCUAUAAGAAUUGAACAUUUGUGCCUGUCUAGGGUUUAGGUUUCAGCUGAAAUGUUCAUAUAAUAUAACUUAAUAGUUAAUAGUCUGAUGACUACGGUAUACGCAAACUUUAACAAGGAAGGUGAAAGAGAACAAAAAUCUGUAAGGAAAGAUUGGACUUAAAAGCAAGCUGUUUCUGUGCAUGAUAAGUUGUUCUACUUGGAAAGAUGGGUUAGUGAGUCGUAUCUUUCUAAAUUUAUCCUCAUUAGGAUUUUGGCAACAUUCCGUACAAAAGUUAAAAGAGUCUGGAAUGCUCUCUUCACUUUUGCAUCGUCGUCCUACACACAGAAAGCAGAAAUUAAGUUAGCGGCUUACGACGAUAUGUAUAAACGACUAGAUACCAAAGAAGGAGAGUUGGAUAUCUAUAAACUAGCUAGAGCAAGGGAAAAGAAGACAAGGGACCUAAACCAAGUGAGGUGCAUCAAGGAUGAGGAUGGAAAGGUUCUUGCUACAGAGAACGCGGUUAAAGACAGAUGGAGAGGUUAUUUUCAUAAUCUUUUCAAUGAAGGACAUGAAAGGAGUGCUUCUUUAGGGGAGUUGAGUAACUCAGAAGAGUGUAGAAACUACUCCUUUUAUCGUCGAAUCCGGAAGGAAGAAGUGGUUGUAGCUUUGAAGAAGAUGAAGCAUAGAAAAGCAAUAGGCCCAGACGAUAUACCAAUCGAAGUGUGGAAAGUUUUGGGAGAGACAGGUAUAACAUGGCUCACUGACCUUUUCAAUAGGAUUUUGAAAACGAAGAAGAUGCCAAAUGAGUGGCGAACGAGCACUUUGGUGCCUAUCUACAAGAAUAAGGGCGACGUACAAAAUUGCAUGAACUAUAGGGGUAUUAAGCUAAUGAGUCAUACAAUGAAGCUCUGGGAGAGAGUCAUUGAGCAUAGAUUGAGGCAAGAGACACGGGUUUCGGACAACCAAUUCGGGUUCAUGCCAGGGCGCUCAACCAUGGAGGCAAUCUAUCUCUUACGAAGAUUGAUGGAAAGAUAUAGAGAUGGGAAAAAGGAUUUACACAUGGUCUUUAUAGAUUUGGAAAAAAGCGUAUGAUAGGGUCCCAAGAGACAUUCUUUGGAGGAUUUUAGAGAAGAAAGGAGUACGAGUAGCAUAUAUCCAAGCUAUAAAGGAUAUGUAUGAAGGAGCAAAGACUGCCGUAAGAACUCAUGAAGGACAAACCGAAAGCUUUCCCAUAACUGUAGGAUUACAUCAAGGCUCAUCCUUAAGUCCUUACCUUUUUGCGUUGGUAAUGGAUGAGUUAACAGGACAUAUUCAAGAUGAUAUUCCUUGGUGUAUGCUUUUCGCAGACAAUAUAGUGUUGAUAGAUGAAACUCAGGAAGGGGUAAAUGCAAAGCUUAACCUUUGGAGAGAAGUGUUGGAAUCUUAAGGUCUUCGCCUAAGCCGAUCAAAGACAGAAUAUAUGGAGUGCAAGUUCAGUGCAAAUGGAGGCCAAAA